rnacentral:lncRNA from 1 species
ACAUUGAUGAUAUAAGCAUCUGGGGUGGGCUUAACUCGAACCCAUUCUCCAUCGGUUUUUCGAUUUACUUCCAACCCUCCAACAUCAUCCUGAGCAAGGAAAGUUAAGGCUCCGGAAUCCUUGUGGCGACCAACGCCCAGAGCUAGGUGAGGAAUGGAGCAAGGUGGGUAGUGAUUGAGGCGGAUGAAGUUUGUUGAUUCUUCAUUCAGGGAUUAUUUCAUCCCUUUUAACCAAAUAUUUAACAUGAUCAAAGACUAUUCCCUAAAUGAAGGCAUACUGUAGCAAAUACCCUUAAUCUGAACAUUGAAAGUACAACUUAAACUAGUAUCAAACACUCUGUUUUUAAACCCAUAGCUACUCCAAAUAUCCCAAAUACUCUUUUCUAUGUAACCUCUCUUUGUCUCUUUCUCGCUCACACACACAUGCUUCCCCACAAAAAUACAUACACACAUAGAGAAGAACACAAUCUCUUAUCCGAUUCCCUUCCGAUUUAUGAUUCUAAGCUGGCGGGUCACUCUCUUAUUCUUUUGCUUUCUUGCGAUGGAGCUCCAUGCUCUCCUUUCCUCAUUUUUUUUCUUGGAUAAAUACUCUAUAAAACAUCCUCUCUCGAUGCUCUAUCUAAACUCACUUGCUCAUUUCACAUUUUUUUCUUUUUGGAUGCUUUCUUUAUGCUCCCAGGCAUAUGCCAGUUUUUUAUGACUAUUUUUGAAGUUGGGAUUCAGAAUUCACUAAAAUCUUUUCUCAAACUUGGAUUUUUCUCAACUCAACCCUAACUUCUUUUCUAUCAGUACCAAGGCUAGAGAAUAUAGUUUAUACCCUUGUAUUUCGUUAUGUACCAAGCCCACAAGAUGAUCAAUAAGUUUCUCUCUAGAUUUUACAUUGGAGUUGAUUGAUGACAUACCCUUAUUAGGUACUAUAUUCUCUUCCUUAGGUAUUGCUUUUUCCUUCCUUAGAUACUACCUUUGCAACCUUGGGUGCACGAUCGAAUCCAUCGUUUCAUGGCCACUUCAAGUAAGUCAGGAACUUAUGUACAUGUGUGCUACAUGUCUUAUAGGUAUUACCUUUACAUUCUGUAGGUACUACCUUUACCUUCCAUAGGUACAAAUAUGAUUAAUAAUAAGAAUUUUAACAUAAAAAAGGGAAAAAUCAUGUCUGAUAAUAAAAUUGCAUAUAUUUUCUUUCUUGCUUUUUUUUUUUUUUUUGGGUCUUUGCUUUGGUUUUUAUUUAUGUGUUUGUUUCUUUUAGUCUUUGUGUGUGUGUGUGUUUUAUUUUAUUUUAUUUUUUUCAUCCCUAUGCAGAAGAUGUAGAGGAAGCAACAUCACAUCAUAAGGUGCAUUUUUCUGUUCAUUUAAGCCUAAAGGUUCUGGAUUCACAAAAUGGUGGGAACUAAGGGUGAGAAACUGGAAAAAAAAAUGUUGGAUUGAGCUACAUUUGAUCAAUAGUGAAUUUGCAAAAAAGAUUGUAGGAGAGGUUUCUUGAGGUGGACAAGGUCAGAAGCAAGGAGCCUUUUCCUAGUUUUUGGGAAGAACUUAUUGUUAACGUGUGAAUUCAUUAAGGGUAAUUUAUGUAAGAUUUUCUAGAUUUUGCAAGUGAAUGCACCUUAGCUUUUCCUAUUGUAUUUGUGUUUUUUUAGGUUGAUUAUUUUAUUGAUCGUCACCACUCAAGGAAUGGAAGCAAUAGGGUCUCUAGAUGUACUGCGUAAAGGCGGGCAUACAGGCGUUGUUAGGAAUGUGUUUCCCAUGUCCAACAAGCAUAUUGACACCACCUAAAGCCAAGGCAUCUUUGGACGAGGAGUUCUAGCUUCUACUUCUGUGGACUUUGUAGAUGUCGUCUGGCUCUUCUAAAUAUUUAUUGUUAUGUAGUAGUUAUACACAUGUACUUUGUUUAAGUGAAUUGAUUAUUGGAUUUUUAGUUAAAUCAAAUUUAAGGGUAUGUUGUUUAAUUUACUAGUGAUCUCUUGUUUGUAAUUCUCGUUAUCAUAUAUAAAUCUUUGUUAGCAUUUUCCAAUUUCCUCAAUAGCAACUAUAUUAGUUUUCAGUGGAAUGAAUCUUGAGUAACUUGUAGUAUCAUUUUUGGUUUUGAAUUGACUAAUCUGUUUUGGAAGGAUGAAUUAGAUAUAUGAGCUUGAUUGCUAACAGUAGUUGAGUUUGUUUUGAUCUCGGGAUAUUUGCCUUGUUGAAUAGGACGUAGAUUUUGGGUCCAAAGAGUUGAAAAUUGAUGAGCUUAACCAAGACAUAGGAGAACCACAUGCAACACUAACCAGAGUUCCUACAACAAGCUAAUAACCAUGAUUUAGAAAUGUGAUUUCGUUAAAGGGAAGCAUUUCUAAUCUUAUUUGAAAGGAAACUUUGAUGUCUUCCCUAAUACACUAGAAUAUUAAUUUAAAAACAACAAUUAAGGUUAUAUUAACUAUUAUAAUAAUUUAUAAAUUAUAUAAAUAUGAUAAUAACUAUUAAAAUGAAAGUAUUAAAUGUAAAAAAGUUUAAUCUUGUUGGGUAAAAACUUCAUCAAUCUUUUAUUAUUGAACUUCUAUUAUAUAAUCAAACAUAGUGAUGAUCCUCGGUUGGAUUAAUCAACACUUGUUUCAUAAAUUGAACAACAUAUAACAUGAUCAACCAUAAACAAACAAGUAAACAUCAUACUAGAUAAAACUAUCUCUUAAGAUUUCUAUUAUUACAUGUUUAAAUUACAAAUCAUAUUUUUGCAACUUUCGUAAAAUUAUGCAAUAGAUAUGAUUAAAAUUACGAAACAUCGGAAAUGUAUAUUGAUUCAUUAUUCAGAUUCAUCAUAUCAUAUAUAUCCUUUAGUAGUCCAUAAGAUCAAAUAAUAACCAAAAUUCAAAAAAUAUGUUUUAUGAUCCAAAAUUGAUUGACACUAAUAUCAUUUGUUAAAUAAACUUUAUGUGAAAUAAUUAUUUUGGAAAAUCAAUUUGGAUGCAUAAUGCAUAAUAGGUAUAAGAAAUAAAGAAAUGACAAAAUAAUAAUUAUAUUCUUGUCUUAAUCCAUGAUACUGAUAACACUUGUAAUGUGAAUUUGAGUCAUUUUGUGAAUUGUUGGGUCAAGGUCUUCAACUCACCAUUCUCAUUUAGUAGAUGAGUCAAUUGUGUGGUAUAUGUUGUUAUAAGUAAAACAACUAAAAACAUAAGAAUGCAAUGUGACUUAGGACCUUAACUUUAUAAAAAAGAUUUAUAACUCUUAAUAUUCUCAUAAAAGAUUAUAUGAAAGUUAUACUCAUUAUUUAUAAACAUUAUACACAGAUUAAUGGACAAUGGUAAACUACCAACUUGAAUACAUUCAUGUAAUUGUAUAAAUUACACUUUUUCAUCUUCCUCUAUUAGUCAUAAACUUUAUGUACAAAUGAAAUCUCAUAAAGAUGGAGUUACACAAGUUGUAAUACCAUAUUCUUAUAAAUGAAAUUUUUCUAACUCUGUAUUUAUAAUUUUAAUCUUCUAUGUUAGAAGUUGAAUUUGUUCCACGUCGCCAAGUUAUUGGGUUAUUAUGUUGUUCAUAUAUGUAGAUUGGUCACCUCUCCAAGCUAGCUUUUGGGAAUGAAUUCUAUUCAAACCCAUUUAACAUGGUAUCAGAGCUUGGUUUGACUGUGGGUUGUGGGUUCGAGCCACCUCUCUGCAAUUCGCAUGUUUGUUCCUUAUUUGCAUGUUUGGAAGUCUAGAAAAGGUUAUUUGCAUUUGUUUGUCUCUUCACGUGUGGAUAUGGGACCACACAUAAGAGAGGGUGUUAAAAAGCUUGAUAUGUACGUAUAUUGAACCUAAAUCUUAUAAGUUUAAGCUUUUAGGAAAAUUAGUAAUUCAACAUUCUAUACAUAAAAUUAUUUGAUGUCCAAUCAAUUGAUUCACCUACCUAUCAAUUAAUAUACUUUUAAAUAAAAUAUAUUUCAAUCCAUUACACAAAUAUAAUUAAAACAAAAUACUAUAGUAAUGUGAGUAUGUGAUAAAUAAAUAAAAUAAAAAUAAUCACGUGUUACAUGUAAACUAUAUUCAAAGGAAAAACCCACUAUUAAACAAUCCAUUGUAUAAUGAUCAAUUACAAAGACCAAGUAUUACCAAACUUAAAAGUAUCUAAAUCAUACUCACUUUGCACAUUUUCUUUAUACUUGGAUCCUUUAAACACAUUUAUCCCAAUGUGGAUGCAUCUUGAGUUCUAAUCAAGGAAAUCAACCUUUGAGUAAAAUUUUCAUCAAGUUAAAGUCUCUUUAUAUCAUUGAGAACCAUAUCAAGAUUUCUUUUUGUUGGUUGCUUUCAAAGUCCCACUAGAAUUAGAAUGAACAUUUUAUAAAUUCUAGGACUUUAACAUAUGAAUUCUUCAAUGAGUCAAUCAAAUAUUAAAUUUUAUCUCCAUAGAUGGACCUCAAUGAAUUUUUCAACAAAUUAAAGGUGUUAACACUAAUUUCAUAUUAGAAAAAAAAAAAAAAUCAUGUGACACAUAUUGAUAUAUAUAUAUAUAUAUAUAUAUAUAUAUAUAUAGGUGUUGUCUGGGAUAAAUAGAUUGAAUUCAUGAGAAAAUUAUUCUUAAUUUUGUAAAAAUUAUAUAUAUAAGAAAGUUUUUAGACUUACUAAAACACAUUACUAAUCAAGUGGUAAUAUUUAUAUCUCAUUAUUUUGUAAUCAAGUCUCAUUCAUUUGUAUCACAUAUGAGUCCUAUUAUUUUAUACCUUACUCUUAUUAUAUUGUACUUUGAUCUUAUUUGUUUAUACAUCGAUUUCAUUUCUUUAUAUGUUCAUCAUAUUUAUUUAUAUCUCGAUCUUAAUUAUUUAUAUCUUUCAAUAGUUUAGAUUUCAAUACAUAUUUUUAAAUAUUUUAAUUGGAAAUUCAAUAUCUUACUAUUUUUCUAAAUAGCUACCUAUAAUCCUUUGUAGACUCAAAAUUCACUUCAAGCCAUCAAAAAAAUCGACCUCUCUUUGUAAGUUGCUAUACUCAUUGCUAAACUAUAAUUCCAAAAAUAGCAGAACUUUUCAUACUUAUUCUAGGCAAUUAGAGUCGAGAUGUUCCAGGCAUAUACCAUUGUCUUUCAAGAUUUGAAAGAAAUGUUACGAUUUCAGCAUGAAAUAAUGCAUGUCGAUUAACAAUAUUGCUCAGAUUCUUUAGGCAAAGGUCCCAGCCUAGAGAUUGAUAAUGUUUCUUUGAAGCAAAAUGACAAAAUGGAAUAACACAAGAAAGCCAGAACCAAUUAAGUGUCCACAGACAAAAAAAUUUAUUUAUUUAUUUUCUGAACCACCCCUGAAAUUGACACCUCCCAUACAGUCUGCAUUUCUGUGGCACUAUUUCCCUUAUUCCUAACCAUAAAUCUGCUGCCAUCUCAAUAAUUCACAUCCUUAUCCACUCCUUAUCUAGGGUUGUAACACUUUUUUCAAAAAGAUUUUUUUUUUUUUUUUUCUAAGGGGUGGAUAAGGGUCCUGAGACAAGCUGUGGAAUAAUUAUAAACCCACUUGGGUAAUGGUUUCAUUGUCAGGGUAAUACUAUUUAAGGUGAAAAUCAGCUGGGUCUAUCAUUCUUGUUUCCAUAUGACUGUUUCCAAGGAUAACUCAACCUUCAAAUCCAUCGAGCAGUCAUAUAAAAAUACACGCAGAUUUCAUAUUUUGAAGCUUGUCCUGUGUUCAGAUCGGAUAACUCACUCAUAUGCCUAAUCACCAAUCGCCAACUUGAGCGUAAAAAAAGCGUGGGGCGAUAUUAUUUGUAUAUGGGUUUGACUGUUUGAGAGAGAAAGGUGGGGUGUCCCUUGGAGGAGUCCAAAGGCCAUUUUUGAACCUGCCUUUGAUUAUCGCCAUGGCAAAUCAACAGCUUGUAGUGUAUAUAUAUAUAUAUAUAUAUAUUAAUGGAGACCAAGACUCAAAUAGAGAGAGAGACGCGGGAUGCGAUAAAGAGAACAGUAUAGCCAAGAGUAUAUAAGCAUUUCUAUUGCUGUAAUGGUGAUUCAGAGACUGGAAAUGUGUAUAUCACUGCUGAAAAUGGCAGUAGAGUUUGUGCUUGUUUUCGCGGAGGCAGUCGGGCUAGUCAUCAACCACAAUGCCACGCCGCUUUUGGCAAACUCAGCCUCAGUUGGCAAUGAUGUUUCUGUCCCUUUUAUCGGUUUUCUUCUUUGAAUUCUUCGUCUUGUAGUUUCCUUCCUUAGCAGAAUGCCCAUUGGCCAUUGUAUACGUUGAGGUUUCAUUUUUGUCUUGAUAGAUUUUGCCUUGGAAAGUGUCUGUACUACCAGCUAAAAGAUGUGAAUGUUUGAUAGGAGAGAGUACAUAUAACAUCUUUGUAAACUUCGAUUAAUUUUGGUUCUGGGUGAGCUUCAUCUUCUGCAAAUUCAUUUGCUGGUAGCUUUGGAAAUGAAUCUUCAGUGGUUUGGGUGGUGAUUAUUUGCUUGCUUCACACGAUUUUAUGUGUUGUUCCUUUGGUAAUAAUCUUGUUGGAUGGAUCAAGGAGGAGCGAUGAUCAGGAAAAUAAAGUCGGGAGAAAGAAAAGAUAUAAUGAUGAUUAAGAAAGGCUUUAAUAUACUUGCAAGAUCAGGAAAAAAUAUUUCUUGGUUAAUCAAUUAUUUUCUUGCUUGAUAUGGGUUUGAUACUUUUUGUCAAUUGGUGAUCAUUCUGGGAAGAUCAGGAAGAAGAAAAUGGGGUCUAGAUGAAGAAAAGCUAUAAUGGUGAUUAUUAAUUGAAAUCAGAUGAAAUAAAAGUCUGUUUCCAUCAUUCUUAAUAGGGUUUCAUAGUCCCCGCAGGACUUUAGUACUCAUCAAACUCAUAAAUUUUGAACAACUUUGAGCUAACCUUCUGCAUUAAUUUGGUGCAUCUGCGCAGUUGCAGAGUAUGAACACCCACAAAAUCUUAAUAUGAAUCUUUUGGGGCAAUAGCUUCUAUAUAUGAUGGAUGAUAAGAACAAAGCAAAUCUUGGGUUCUCCAUGGCCACGAUCAUUUAUCCGCCAUAUAAAAUGCAGAUUUUCCUAACACCAACCCCUUAUUUUAAUAAAGUCAAGUUAUUUUAAGGCCCCCAUUAUUAGACAUGCCCUAGAAGCAUUGGGUCUGUGAUUAAAAAAAUGUAGUAAUAUCAUUUAAAAUAUCUAACACUGAAAUUUUGAUAAUUUUGAAUGUCAUAGUGUGGAUUUGAAGAAAGAAAUCGUAUCCAAGAUCUCUUCCUUUUCCUGGGAAACAUUAGUCUUGGUCAAUUAUGAACUGUUACACGUUACCUAUCAUGAUCAUAUUUAUAUUAGCUUUGAUUUCUAUGGGGGUUAUAAUUUAUUUGUAUGCUAAUCAUAGAGGUGAUACAUGUGAUCCACAUGUCAUAUUUGGACUUGGAACCAAUCAUUGGAUUCCUUUGAUGAACUGGCAAUGGAAGAAUACUAAUUGCUCCGGUCCCUUUCUUUUUUCAACGUAGGAUGAUCAGGUCCUUUGAUCUCUUCCACACCCACUGGCUGUUUUUCUUUGUUCCUUUUUCAAUCAUCCAUAGCUGAAAAGCCUUGAUGCCCUCCUUGACUUUCCCAAGAUAAAACACCUUAUCUUCACUUUCUUUCUUUUCCCUUUAAAUUUGAUUUUAGAUCUGAAAUCCAGGGCUUAUGACCCUGUAGAAGAAAGACAGAUAUGAAGCUUGGGAUGAUUUGAACUUCAGUUUGAUUUUCUGCACACUGUUUAAAACUCCUGAAAUAUAGUUGUAUAUUGCAAUACAUUUAUAAUUGAUACAACUGAACCAUGAUGUUUCUAUUAGUAAAAAUUUCUUUGAAUCAAUCCACAGUUCAAAGUACCAAUUUCAAUUGAAACUUUUUUCUUUUCCUGCUUAUUCAAUUGUUUCGUUUUCCACAUAAUGGUAUGACAACAUCAAGAAUACUUCUCAGCAAUUGCCUGCAGGUGAACCCAAAGCUCUUUUGGCUGAGACAUCAUGACCAUGUGAUCAGAUCCUUUAAUCUCUUUAACAGCAUCAGGUGGGUUUUCUUCGAUCAUCCAGAGUUGAAAAUCCUUUUUCGCCAGCUUGUCUUCCUCAGAAAUAAUAAAGACACGUUUAACCGAGGCAUAUUUCUUCGACAACAUGAGAUCCUUUGACAUGUCUUCUUCACUGAACAAGCGUAAGGGUCUCAUCAACAUAGUCCCUAGUGCCAAGUCCUGGAAAAUUUGUGCCCAAAAUGAUAUAACAACAACAAUGAAAAGUCUCAUGAUUUUGGCUGUAAGGCCUGAAUUAAUGAAGUUCUCACCUCAGUUGGGCUCAACUGAUACACAUUCAGUGAUGAGAACAAGGGGCCAAAGGUGAAAGUGGUGGGAGGAUUGUUGGGGCCAUUAUCAUAUGUGAACUGGCUGUCUAGUAGAGGACCUUGUCUCCUGAGUGACUUCAAUAAGAAGUAGAAACCAGGCUAAAAGUCAGAAACAGGGGAAGCCUUCCCCUCUUAAUCAACAAGUAAAUUUCUGUAAAAGAAAAAUAGUAUGUAUGAAGUACCUCUUGAUUGAGAGUGGAAAUGUUGAGAGUGGGACCAGGCAUUGAGGCAGUAACAAAAACAGCUACAGAAACCUUUUCUGGGAACUUCUCCAUGGCCUGAGAAAUGGCCAACCCACCCAAGCUGUGUCCAACGAGAACCACCCUUUCAUCUGCAGGGAGUGACUCCAUGAAGUCCCUCAGUGGCUGGAAAUACUCAGAAAUAGAUCGCAGAUCACCCACUUGUUUUGGGUUAAUUCCAGAAGCAGCCAAGUCCAGAGCAGUGACUUUGUGGCCAGAUGAUUUUAGUAGUGCCACAAUCUUGUACCAAGACCAGGCACCAUGGCAAGACCCAUGAACUAGAACAUAGUGCUUGACGGGAUUAGCCUGUCUCCCCUCUGAUGCCAUUGAAUACACUGAAGAAACAAGAAAAAUCAGAAAGGAAACUAAAAUCGUAUGCUUCUUCCUUUCCUGCGUACUCCUUUCCUGUUACAGAGAUGGUCAGCACCCAAGCAUUUUAAAGGGCACAAUUGGCUUUCACUACAACUACUAAUCUAAUGGAUUAAAAUUUUUCCUGUGAAAUUGACUCUAGAAAUAAAAUAAGGAUUAAGGAUUCAAGAAUAUGUACACAUAGACUGCCAGGGUUUAAAAGAUGACACAUGCACCUGCGUCACACUCUUUUUCAAUGAUAAAGAAGUUAUGCAAAGGAAGAAAGAAUGAAAUAUACAGAGUCUAGUAGUUAACUCCUCCCCUUGAAUUCUUCUGUUGCCCGGAUUGGUUUGUAACUGCAAACAUUUUCUUUUCCCAAUGUGAUCUGUGGAUUGAGUUCUGAUCUCAAUUUGUUUUUGGCAUUUUUGGUUUUGCUUCUGCAAAUCUUGAGAUGUAUCUUUCAAUUAAUAUAAGUAAGUUAUGCAGUAAAGGUUUUUGGACAUAUAAAAUGUUAGCCAAACCUUUCCCAUGGCGGGUUGAAGGUACUUUGGGGUAGGCUUGGUCACGCUUGAUACCUCAAUCGGACUGAAACAUGAUGUUUUCACCCAUUUGAAUUGGUCAAAGCUGUGUUGACUGGCAUGAUUCCUUUAAUAAAGAAGUUGUUUUUGGAUUAAGGCCUACAACACCAAUUUCACUUAAAUACAUCUAUUUAAUAAUUAUGUAUUAACAUAAUUAUAAUCAAUUGAGUCGAAAACAAUUAAAUUAAAAAGUUAAUUAUAUUGACUUAAAUAAAAUCUGACUCAACCAGAUUAUUAAAUAAAUUACUCAACUUAUUACAUGUUUAAUAAUUAAGUCGUAUUUGGGUUUAUACUUUUAACUCAAUUAUUAUUCAUGUUAUAUUUGUGUUGACUUAUUAAGUCACAGUAUCUAAAUUUAAUUUGAUAUGACAUGAACACUACCCACCAACAUUAAUUGUAUCCCCUGUUUUAAGUUCCGGUGGCAUCAUGAGUUUGGCCUCUGUUUUGAGUGUUGAAUUAACCUUUCCCAUGGUUGUCAAGUUCUUCAUAAAUUAUUGGUGAUUGUAAUAAUUUCCUCAUAAAUUAAUGGCGCUAUAUGCUUCUUUAGGAUCCAUUGAUCUUACUAAUUCUCUUCCUGGUAUGGGAAGAAAAUGACUCUUCCAUUAAUGCAGCAUGCAUUGCUACUUAUUUAUCAAGCAAAUUACAUUAUUAUUUUCACACCAAACCUCCAAAUUCAUCAUGUACUUAUCCUAUAUACUACAUGGUGAACUUUAGAGAGCUAAAACAAGCUCUUCUUGAUUAAAGAUAGAUAAUGUCCUAUUGACCUUUUUACUUUGAUGCCUUGAAAUGAGAAAUUUGGAUGUUUUCUACAUCAAGCUUCUUGAAAUUAUUGUGCUUUCUCGUAGUAAAGAAUUUUCCCAAGUUGUGUACUUUGGCUUUUCCCCCUUUGUCAUCUCCUCCAAGGGUUGCACCCAAACACGGUGUUCGGGAUUGAAAAAGAACGGAAUCAAAAACCUUUCCCUCUCUGAAUUCACCAUCACCCUAUGCUCCACACUCUCAUAAGUAUCGUUGCUCCAUACCUGAUUUAAUAUCAAGAUAAUUAGACAAAUGGGUGUGUAAAAUUCCUUGAGCCAAACUGUACUGAUAAGCAAGUACUAAAGACGAUACAGGCUUUGAGAGUUAAAGGUCGUUCUUUCUAUAAAUCAAGGCAAUAAGUAUAUAUACAACAUACAACAUAGUUGCUGUUACAGGCUUACCAAAUUAAUUCCACAAUAAAGGAAACUAUACAUGGUUGGUUACCAAAACAAAAAUAGGAGAUUAGCUAUACAUAUUACUAAAAUAUAGGAUUUGAUAAAGAUUGAAGUGGACUUUCAAAUGAACCAUUUUCCUUAUCAUGACCCCUCAAGAUAGACUUCGAUUGAAUGCCUAGCUUGACGCACAAGUGUUGUAGAUGAGCUAAGGAUUGUGGCUUUGUUAAGGCAUCAACAAGUUGAUCCGCGAAAGCAAAAUGAGGCACGCGAAAAGUGUAAUCUUGAACUCACAAAAUGAAAAUAAAUAGCAAUAUGCUUCAUCCAAAAUGUAAAAUUAGGUUGGCGCAUAAGUAGGUGGUACCGACAUUAUCACAAUAGAUUGGCAUGGGUUUGGGAACUGAAAUACCCAACUCAAGUAAUAGGGAGUUAAGCCAAAGAAGUUUGGAAGAAGUUGUAGCUACAACAUGAUACUCUACCUCAGUUGAGGAACGGGCAACAAAUGUUGCUUCUUUGAACUCCAAGAAAUGACAUUAUGACCUAAAAACACAACAUGAGCACUAGUUAAAGUACGAUCAUCACGAUCACCAAUCCAAUCUACAUCGGAGAAGGCAUGAAGGCUAAGAGGGGAUCCUUUUCGAAGAAACAAACAAUGAUGCGUUGUACCUUUAAGAUAACGGAGAAGAUGUUUGAGUGCCAACCAGUGAGUGGUAGUAAGUCUAUGCAUGAAUUGAGAGAGUUUAUUGAUUGAGAAAGCAAUGUUUGGUUGAGUGAAGAAGAGGUACCGAAGACCACCAACAAUAGAUCGAUACUUAGUCGAAUUGGUCAAGGAUGUGCCAUCCACAAGGCUAGGUAUCUGAGAUGUUGACAUAGGAGUUGUGAAUGACUUGGAAUCCAUCAUUUUUGUGUGCUCCAAAAGAUCUAAAACAUAUUUGUGUUGAGAAAGAAAGAGACCAAAUGAGCUUGGAAUAACUUCAACCCCUAAAAAAUAAGAGGCAACACCUAAAUCUUUAAUGGAGAACCGAGUAGCAAGUGUGUGAACAAAAUGAUUGAGAGUACCAUCAUCAUUGCUAGUAACAAUAAUAUCAUCAACAUACACAAGUAGGAAAAUGGUAAAUAGAGACUUCUUAUGGAUGGACAAUGAAGUGUCAAAUUUGGGGUAGAAACUGCUUCACAAACCCUUGAUGGAGUAGAAACUGCUUCAGUUCUUGAUACAAGGCACAUGGUGCUUGUUUGAGGCUAUAAAUAGCUUUCUUAAGAUGACACACAUGGCUUGGAAACUAAGGAUCAACAAACCUUGGUGGUUGAGCCAUAAACACAUUUUUGGCAAAAGUCCCAUGAAGAAAAAGCAUUGUUCACAUCAAGUUGACAAAGUGACCAAUUGAAGGAAAAUGCAAGACUAAGAAUGAGUAGACCAGUAGUAGGUUUCACAACCGGGCUGAAUGUCUUAGCAUAGUCAAUACCAGGGAGUUGAUGAAAACCCUUGGCGACAAGAGGAGCCUUGUAUUGAGCAAUAGAGCCAUCAGGAUUGCGUUUGAUUCGGAAAAUCCAUUUGCAACCAACUAGAUUCUGUGACUUAGUAGAAGGAUUCAACUCCCAUGUGCCAUUAUGAAGAAGAGCAUCAAAUUCUUCAAACAUAGCUUAACACCACUCAAGAAGCUUUAAAGUUUGGGUAACAUAGGCAGGUGCAACAUCAGGAGUGGUAGAGACAAAAGCAUACUUGGUGGAUGGUUUGAAGACAUUAUUCUUGGAUCUUGUAACCAUGGGAUGGGUGUUGAGGGUAGGGGGUCGAGUGGGUGGGAUGGGGGAAGGGGUAGGAUGUGGGGUUGAAAGCAAGAUUGGGCUUGGAGGGAAACUAUGUUGGGAUUGUGUAGUCUCAGCAUUGGGGGGUAAUAUAAUUGACUGGCCAGCAAGAGUGGUAUCAUGAAUGGUCGAAUGCUUAACUGGAGUGGUACCUAAGAUUGUAUUGUCCUGUGAUGAGGGAAUUGAUACGAGAGGGAAUGGAAUAGAUGGGACUAUGGUGGGUGGAGGUUUCUCGGCAGUUGAAGAAAAGAGGACCAUUAUCUCAACAAAGGUGACAUGAUGAGAGGUGAAUAACUUGUGGGAAACUCGAUCAAGGCAAAGGUAUGCACUUUGUGUAAGAGAGUAACCUAAGAAGACACAUGGACGAGAUUUGGAUUGAAGUUUGUGGUCAUUAUAUGGGAGUAACUAAGGAUAACAAAGACAACCAAACAUUCAUAAUUUGUCAAGAAUUAGGUUUGUGAUUGAAUAAUUUCUCAUAGGAAGAGAGGAAUGAGAGGUUUGGUUUAAGCAUUCGAUUAAUAAGAUAGACUAUAGCUUAAAAGGCAAAGGGCCAAAAAGAAGUAGGAAUGGAUGCAUGAUGGAAAAGGAUGAGUCUGGUUUUGACAAUGUGUCUAUGAUGACGUUUGGAGUAACCAUUAUGCUUAGGAGUAUGAGGUGGGGUGGUGAGAUGAGUAAUGCUAGCAAGAGCAAAAUAAUCUUUUAACGCUAGAAAUUCACCACUAUUGUCAUAAUAGAUUUGAAUUAUUUUGGAACUGAAGUAGUUUUCAACUAGAGCUUUAAAUCGAACAAAAACAUCAUAGACAUUAGAUUUCUUUUGAAGUGGAUAUAACCAGACAUAUUUGGUGAAGUGAUCGACAAAGAUAACAUAGUAUUUAAAGUUAUCAUUUGAUACAAUGGGAGAACUCCAAACAUUUGAGUAAAUAGUUUGUAAAUGAGAUGAACUUGUAAUAGAUGAUGUAGAGAAAGGUAGUUUAUGACUUUUAUUGCACUUACAAGAAUUACAAGCAAAAGUAGAAAUAUCAUUAGAUGAUAAAGAAUGACUCUUAGAGGAAACUAAAUAUUGAAGAACUUUGGAAGAGGGAUGACCAAGUCGAUGAUGCCAAUUUGGAAGUGAAGUCUUAACAUUGGAAAAUACAAUCAAAGGUUUUUUCGUAGUAGGAGAAUUCAACCAUACAUAAAAACCACCACUAUAGAAUAUAGAAUAUAAUUUUAUAUUUAAUUAAUUUUGCAUUUAAAUAAUAUAUGAUAAAGAUAUUACUUUUAUAUUUAAAUAAUAUAAGAUGGUAAUGAGAUAAAAAUGAAUGUUUUUAUGGUUAUAGGAAUAAAGAAAAAUAAAAUAAAAAAGAUUUCAAUUACUUAAUUAAUAGUAAUCCUAAUUUAAUUUCAAUUAAUAUUAAUCUUAUUUAUAUCUUUCCUUUCUUGAAUAUACCAUAAAAAGAUUUAAGUAGUAAAUAAAUACAUGGGUAGAAGGAUACAUCCAGUCAUGAGGUGUACCUAUAUAUUAAUUUUAUAUUUAAAUAUUAUAGAAUAUAAUUUUAUAUUUAAUUAAUUUUGCAUUUAAAUAAUAUAUGAUAAAGAUAUUAGUUUUAUAUUUAAAUAAUAUAAGAUGGUAAUAAGAUAAAAAUGAAUGUUUUAUGGUUAUAGGAAUAAAGAAAAAUAAAAUAAAAAAGAUUUCAAUUACUAAAUCAAUAGUAAUCCUAAUUUAAUUCCAAUUAAUAUUAAUAUUAUUUAUAUCUUUCCUUUCUUGAAUAUACCAUAAAAAGAUUUAAGUAGUAAUCUGGGAUAGAUAUUAAUUUUAUAUUUAAGAAAUAUAGGAUAUAAUGUAGAGAAUAGAGAUACACAAACAUAUUUUAUAUUUAAGUAGUAAUCUUCAUGAGCUUUACACAAACAAAAAACUUAGAUGUUUACAUCAUCUAGAAGCCCCACUUCGCCUCUCUCUCAGCCCUCAGCCCUCAGGCUUAAGAAGUUGUCAUGAGAAACCUAACACAAACCUUUCUUAUAAUUAUUGUUCAUAGUCGUAGCUACCAAGAAUUCCAAGUUAGGAAGAAAAAAAGAAUCAUAAAUACAGCAAAAAUAACUUCCACUACAUGCGGCAGCAGGGGUACCAAAUUAGGGAAAUUAAGAAGUAAACCAUGCCCAAUCAAUUGCUGGGAAAUAUUAUUUGGAUAUCAAAUUAGGGAAGCUAUUAAGUGUGGUUUUUGUAGUGUUAAAUCAGAGAGAAAUUUAAUUAUAUUAUGAAUUUCAAAUUUAAUUAUUCUAAGAACAAUGAAUUACUCUAAUAGAAUUUAAUGUAUAAAAACAUUUCAAACACUCGCAACAUAUAUCAUUUUCAUUUUUUCCAAAAGCACCAAAACCCUAUAACAAUGAAAAUAAACCCAAUAACAAUGGAAAUAAACCAAAUAACAAUGGAAUCUCAAACCUAAUCACAAACAUUUCCAAAAUACCAACUAACAAAACCCAAAAAAAAAAAAAAAUUCCCAAAACUCACCAAAACCUAGAGAGAUGAUUUUCACGGGAGUUUCUUGGAGGUGGCUUCAGCUUUACCGACCAUAGCUUCCAUGGGGCUUCUUCAGCAUGGCUUCCAUAAGCUUUUUUUGACAAUAGCUUCCUCCAAGCAAUGGGGGUUGUGGGUAGGUUUUGUGGGUUUUAUGGCCGUGGGUUUUGGAGAGGAAGAGAAAAUGGGUUGGCAGGAGAGAGAAAGAAAGGCUUUAUAUUCGAUUAGGAAAGUGAUGUGGCCGUGGGGUAUACCCACAUGGUUAAAAGAAAGACAUUUUUCCAUUAGAAAAAAAUGUCUCAUGGCUUUUUUUAUUGUUAUUGUUAUACCCAAAAAAAAUAAUUUAAUUUUAUUGUUAUACCCUAAAAUUUUUUUAUUGUUAUUGUUAUUGUUCUGUGUUCAGAACUAUUAAUUUAAAAAGUUUUUCAAGUUUUAAAAUUAUCAAAUUUUUAAAAUUUACAAUUAUUUUAAAAUUUUAAAUUUACAAUUAUUUUUAAAAUUUUAAAUUUAAAUUAAUUUUGAAAGUUCAAUGUUUUACUCAAAGUGUUAUUCUAAAAUUUUUAUUAAGUUUUAUCAAGUUUUUUAAGUUUUAAAAUUAUCAAGUUUAAAAUUUAAAAAUUUUAUAUAAAUACAAAGAAUAAUUAAAAAUAAAAUAUAACAUAUAAAUGUUAUUUUUUAAAACAUAUUUAAAAACAUAAAAAAUAUAUAUUAAGAAUAUUUUAGGUUUCUAAAUCAACUUUUAUUUUAAAAUACAUCGGCAAAAAAAUUUUUAAAAAUGUUUUAAAAAACCGUUUUUUGUAUAAUUGUUUAUGAAAAUGUCAAAAUACUUCACAAAUAAACCAGUUCGAGUCCCCUCAGGGCCUCGUGGGAUUAGUCGAGAUGUGCUUAAGCUGGUCCGGACAUCCACGGUUAUAAAUAAAAAAUAAAAAUAAAAAAAUAAAAAAUACUUCACAAAUAAAACUAUAAUUUAUUGGUAUUUUUGUGGGCCUUAGGUGUUAGGAAAUGUUAUAUGUGCAUCCUACUCCUACUCUGUCUUCAUUAUUUUCAGUCCCUUUAUAUCUUAUACCAAUCUACUAUUAUUUUAUCAUAUGGUAUCAGUUUUUCAUAUUUGAUGAUAUUAAUUUCUACCUUAUCCCAUAUGCUUGUAGCUUAAUUUCAUUAUACAUUUGGACAACAGAAUUUCAGACUUCCAUUUGGUACUAAAUAUAAUAAACAUAAACAGAGAAUGAUGCAUUUAAGAAUAUUUUUCCAUGAAUUUUAACUUUAUAAAUUUGUUAAUUUUACAAAUUUAAGAAUUAUAAAAGUUUAGAACUUUUAUUUUUAAUCAUAAACAGAGGAUGUUAUUUUUGUAGUUAUAAAUUGUUUUUGUAUUGCAAAAAUCAUAAAGAUUAAAUAAUAUUUUAUGAUUGAAAAUUAAAUAAAACUAUAAACAAUUUUACUAGUAAUUGUUCAUAGUAAAAUUUAGUUAUCAUGACUAUUGAUACUUUAAAUAUAAUAAGAAUUAUUUAUCAUAUAUAAAAUCAAAAUUGUUUUUUAAUUUGCUAACUCACUUGCAUUUAAACUUUUUAUCAAAUAAUAUCAAAUUGAACCAUCAUAUUUUUAAACUAAUUUAUUAAACUUUAUUUUGCUUCUUAUUAAAACAUUAAUUAUAACAAGGAAAUUAAAUAAUUUUAACUAAAGAAAAAUAGGUAACACACUAAUUUGUUUCUUAACUUAAAAAAAAAUAGUAAUAUAACUUUAAACUUUUUAUAAUUAAUAAGAACUAUUAUUAUUACUAUUAAUGAUAAUUUCUAUUUAUGAUAUAUAUAUAUAUAUAUAUAUAAGAUUUUCUAAAAAAUUAUAAUAGGUAACCCAAAAAUUGUUUAAAAUAAAUAAUAGACUUUGGUCACGAUUGUGUGAACCCCGUGGCCAUAGGUUCAAAAUAUUUAAAAAAAACUCUAUGCAUUGGUAAUGGUCAAGCGAAAUUUGUAACUACAGGUUCUUAUACAGUCACGGUCAAUCAAUGGCGUGACUAAAAGUCACGGUCAAUCAAUCACGUCACUCAAAGUCACAAAAUAUCUAUUUAGUGACGGUUUCACAAAAACCUGUGACUAAAACAUCUUUUUCAUUACACUUUUUGUCACGGAUGAUAAAAUAACCGUGACUAAAGUUAUUGGCGCCAAAAUUUCCCUCCAUAAAUUUACAAAUAGUCACAGUUUUAAAUAAAUCCGUGACUAAAAUACCUCUUAUUAAUCCUUUUGGUGACGGUUGAUAAAAUCACCGUGACUAAACAUGUUUUUUUUUUUUUCCAAAUUUGAUUUAACACAUAUAGUCACAACCUUACCCAAUAAUAUCUUUGGUGGGCCGUGACUAAAGAUUCGUCAUUAAAAAUCUAUUUUUUUGUAGUGCUAGUUGGUCCAUGCAAAAUUCUUGCCCCCGUACAUAGACCAUUCACAUAAAAACAAGUGGGUAAGAAUUCAAUGAAAACAUUAUUUGUUAAGCAAAAUUGGGAAAUUGAAAUCAAGUUCUUUUUCAUGGUGAGAACACAAGGGAUAUUAUUAAGUUGAAGUAGCUUUAAUGCAGUUGGGAGGGUGGUGGAUCCUGUGUGUGUGAUUUCUAGACCUUUACCAUCACCAAUAAUUAUGUCGUCUGGGCCAGCAUAGUCGGAAUGCAAAGAUAGAUUCUGAAGAUCAUUAGAUAUGUGGUGUGAGGCACCAAAAUCCAAGACCCAAUUUGGAGAGACAACAGUUGGUUGAGUUGUCGCAUGUGUUUGUGCAGAAGAGGGGCGGUAACUGUAAUUGGGUGGAACACCAUGAUGUUGACUGGCAAUAUAUCGAAAUGAUGGACAUCUUUUCGCUGAGUGUCCUUGAACACCACACAAUUGACAAGUCCCCUUAUAUGGAUGAGGGGUGUGAUUCGAAGUAUUCGAGGUAGUCAUUGGUUGAGGUUGUUUGGAUGUACGGUAUUGAGACGAAGAGUAAGGCUGUUGAUUGAAGAAUCGAUGCGAUUGUGGUUGUUUGGUAGCAGCAUUGGUGGAAGCAGGCAAUGAGACAUUCCAAGAAGAAUACUUGGCAGAUUCUCAUAAAGUUUGAGCCUCAAGAGGAAGCAAUUUCUCAUAAAGUUCCUCAAAGGAAAAACAGUUUCAUGGGCAUGGAUGGUUGAGUGUAAAUCUUUGUACAUCUCAGGCAAACCAUGAAAUAUUUGAAUAAUGAAGUCCUCAGGGUCUAUGGUGACGUUCAUGAGAUAGAGAACAUCAACGCAAAUUUUAACAAAUUGCAUAUACUGUGUUAUGGACUGAGUGCCUUUGGACAAGUUGUCGAGUUGAGUCCGAUAAUGAAUUAUUCGGCUUCGAGAUGCUUUAGCAUAGGUGUUGUGAAGUGUAGACCAAGCCUCAAGGGAGGUUGUGGCUGAUGCAAUGAAUGAGAAAAUUGUUGGACUAAGUGAUGAAACAAUAGCAUUAAGAAGAUGGUCUUGACGAAUCCAAUGGGUGUAAGCUGGGUUUGGGGUUGUAGUACCCUUUUCAGAAGUAAGAGUGCUAGAAGGACAUGGUAAAGUGCCAUUGACAUAUCCCAGUAAAUCAUAACCGACUAGGAGAGUGUAAAAUUGGAGUCUCCAUGCAGAAAAAUUGUGUUGAGUGAGUUUGAUGGGGGUUUGGGAAGAGGCGUUUAUGGCUAUGAGGUUUUGAGUAGUGUAUAUAGAGAUGUUGGCAGCAGUGUCGAUGGAGGAAACAAUUGAGGGGGAAGGGCUAGAGCCUUCGUUGGUUUAUGGGUUUGGUGAGGCAUGAGAAUCAACUAUGUGAGCUAUGGUUGCUCUGAUACCAUAAAGACGAUACAGGCUUUGAGAGUUAAAGAUUGUUCUUUCUAUAGAUCAAGGCAAGAAGUAUAUAUAUAGUAUACAACCUAGCGUUACAGACUUACCAAAUUAACUCCACAAUAAAGGGAACUAUACAUGGUUGGUUACCAAAACAAAUAUAGGAGAUUAGCUGUACAUAUUACUGAAAUAUAGAGACGAUCACGGAGGAUUUGAUAGAGAUUGAAGUUGACUUUCAAACGAACCAUUUUCCUUAUCAGGUACUAAUUCAAAGUUCUUGGGUGGUACUUGAAUUAUAUCCCCAACAUUGAUGAUAUAUGCAUCUAGGGUGGGCUUAACUCGAAUCCAUUCUCCAUCAGUUUUUUGCUUUACUUCCAACCCUCUGACAUCAUCCUGGGCAAGGAUGGUUAAGGCUUCGGCAUCCUUUUGGCAACGAACACCCAGAGCUAGGUGAGGGAUGGGGCAUGGUGGGUAGUGAUUGAGGCGGAUGAAGGUAGUUGAUUCUUCAAAGAAAAGAUUGAAUCUGUUUUCCGGCAAACCUAAGCUCAGAGAGAUGAGUCCCAACAUCUUGAAAGCUAGUUUUUCCAUUUCUCUAGCAUAUUCUUCACAUACCUCCCUGUAUAAAUUGGUUCAAUUAGAACCAAAAAACCAAGUAAAUCAUUGAAGUGACUCUGCCUUAGCUGGUGGAAUUUGUACCUUAAUUCAGGAGAGUACUGAGGCCACUGAUUGAUCAACUCUUUGAGCUCCUUGUCGUCAGGAUCAGGCGAAGCAGGGAUGAAGGCGGGGGAUGACACCACGAAAUCAAAGACUUCCUUCCAGUCCCUAACGUUCUUGGUAUGCUCAGUAUCAAAAUACCACAAAGGAUUCACCCCAUCUCUACUCACCUUCCUCUUCUCCUACAAUGGCAGAGCGAAGAACUUCCUCGCCGCAUCCUCAAUUUUCCGGCGAGACUCCGAGGGCAUCCCAUGGUUGAUGACUUGAAAGAAGCCUCGAUUCUUGGAUGCAUCAGCUAUUUGAGAAACAUGGUUAGAGGCAUUGGCGGAAGAGAGAUCAAUGAGUGGGAUGCCUUCAGCUUCGAUAACAACGAGCUUAGGCCCAUGUUGGGUGUCUUGGAUGAAGGCUGGAUCGACCUCUCCCAUGGCUGUGGUAGUGAUUAGAACCUAGAAAUGGUGGUUAUGCACUGGUAGCUGCAGGUUGAGAUUGUGAAGGGGACUUGGGCCACUUGGCAGGUGAUUUUUGUAGUGUAGUGGGGUUGGUUUGGUUCAUUGAACCUUGACAUAAUGACAUAAAUGGGAUACGUUUUAUAAGUUCAAGGAAUCAUGGUAUUUGGAAAAUAUGAAUGAGUUGAAAAUUUUAAAAAAUAGGUUUAUAGGAGUAUAUUUUAAGGAAAAUAAUUUUCAAAUCAUAUCAUGUAUAGGAUAGUGACUUUGUACAUGUUUGAGGGGAAUCAUGUCAAAGUGCACUAUUUGAAAAACAUGGCUAAAUUGUAAACUUAAAAAAGUGGUUUCAUGGAGAGUACAUUAUGAGAAAAAUAAUUUCCAAAUCAUGUACUAAAAUAAUAACUGUAUCCAUGCUUCCAAAACUACUAUUCAACAUAUUUUCAUCAUGUCACAUUUUCCUAUGACGUCAUUGCCCUCAUUUCUUAGAAGAAAAACCCUUUCUGUUCUACUUUACUUUACACUGUUUGUUCCUAUAACCCUUUCCUUUUUUUAAUUUUAAUUUUUUUAAAAAAAUAUUUCUCAUCUAUUUUCUCGAUUUUUAAAAUUCUAUUUAAUUAAAAAAAUUAGAAUUUUUUUUAAAGUACAAUUCAUUUAUUUAUUUUUUCAUUUUAUUUAAAUGUGAUGUAUAAUUAAUACAUUAACAUAAAUUAGUUUUUAAUAUAAAAAUAUAUUCAUCUAUAAUAAUUAAAAAUCUAAUAAAUAAAUAAAUAAAUAAAUAUUAGUAUUUUAAAUAAUAUUGAUUUCGUAUAUACAAUAUUUUAUUUUGUUUCAUUAUUAUAGAUCUCAUUUUCUAUAUUUUUUAUUUCUAAUUUUUCUUAUAGAAUUUUAAACCUAGAUUUUUUAAAAAUGAAAUUUAAAAAAACACUAGAAAUUAAAGUUUUUGUUUUCUUCAAAAUAAAAACAAAAAAAAAAUAAUAUACAAAAAAAAAAUAUUAGUUUACCUUUAAUUUCAUUCAACAAAAAAUUAGUAAUGAUAAUUUUUUAAGAGUAUUUAAUUUUAAAAGUAAUAUUUGAAGAUAGGUAAAAUAAAAAUUUUAAAAGUGUUUGUAUUAAAAUUUUGAAUAUAAAUUCACAACUCCCAUCAUAAUACAUUGAUAUUUAAAAUAAAAAAAACCCCUAAUGAUUUUUUUUUAUUAUAUUAAACAUGUAAAAAAAGUACAUUUUUGUUUAAUUAAAAAUUUAAACCAUUAAAAUUGUUUUUUUCUUUAAUAAAUAAUGUUUUUAAAGAGUACAUUAUACCUAUUUUUUUGGGCAUGUUAUUUAAUAAUUGCUACCAAAGUCAUAACAAUGACAAUAAAAAACUAAAUAUAAUAGUGCAUAUUUGCUAUCUAUAGUGGUACUUUUAGUUACUAACAUUAUUAUUUUUAAGUAAAAAUAAUGUUAUUAUUUCCUGACAUAUUUGAUGUAGAGGUUGAAGUGAUGACAGUGCUAAAUAAGUUAGUACAUCCUAUUAUCUACAGUGAUAUUUUUAGUUACUAUUAUUAUUAUUUUUAGGUAAAGACAAUGUUACUAUCUCUAGUGAUACAUUUGAUGUAUGGAUUGGAGUGGUGAUAGAUGAUGUAACAACUGUGUAUAUGGGGUCAAUCAAGUGUAAUUGUCCUCUUAUUUGUAUAGAUCGCAACCCACCUCCGACAGUGGUUGAAAAGUAGUCUUGGAAGCAUAUCACCAAAGGGACAUUUUGAAUAAUAAUUUGGGAAAAAGCGUUCAUCAGACAUAGCCUAAAAAGUAUAUCCCAACAUUGCUGUUUAUUUAUCAAGCAAAUUACAUUAUUAUUGUCACACCAAACCUCCAAAUUCAACAUGUACUUAGCCUAUAUACUGGAUGGUGAACGGGCUAAAACAAGCUCUUACUGAUUACAGAUAGAUACUGUCCUACUGACACUUUUACUCUGAUACCUUGAAAUGAGAAAUUUGGAGGUUUUCCACAUCAAGCUUCUUGAAAUUGCUGCGCCUUCUCGCAGAAAAGAACUUUCCCCAGUUGUAUGCUCUGUAAUUUUGCUUUUCCCCCUUCGUCAGCUCCUCCAAGGGCUUCACCCAAACAUGCUGCCCGGGAUUGAAAGAGAACGGAAUCGAAAACCUUUCCCUCUCUGAAUUCACAGUCACCCUGUGCUCCACACUUUCAUAAGUAUCAUUGCUCCAGGCCUGGUUUAAUAUCAGUAUAAUUAGCCAAAUGGGUGUAACUGAGCCAAACAGUACUGAUAAGCAUGUACUUAUAAUUCGAAGUUCUUGGGUGGUACCUGAAUUAUAUCCCCAACAUUGAUGAUAUAAGCAUCUGGGGUGGGCUUAACUCGAAUCCAUUCUCCAUCGGUUUUUCGCUUUACUUCCAACCCUCCGACAUCAUCCUGAGCAAGGAUGGUUAAGGCUCCGCCAUCCUUGUGGCGACCAACGCCCAGAGCUAGGUGAGGGAUGGGGCAAGGUGGGUAGUGUUUGAGGCGGAUGAAGUUCGUUGAUUCUUCAAAGAAAAGAUUGAAUCUGUUUUCCGGCAAACCUAAACUCAACGAGAUGAGUCCCAAUAGCUUGAAAGCUAAUUUUUCCAUUUCUCUAGCAUACUCUUCACAUACCUCCCUAUAUAAAUCAGUUCAAUUAGAACAAAAAAGAUAAGUAAUUCACUGUAGUUAUUGUGCCUUAGCUGGUGAAAUUUGUACCUUAAUUCAGGAGGGUACUGAGGCCACUGAUUGGUCAGCUCUUUGAGCUCCUUGUCGUCAGGAUCAGGCGAAACAGGGAUCACGGUGGGGGUUGACACCACGAAAUCAAAGACUUCCUUCCAGUCCCUAACGUUCUUGGUAAGCUCCGAAUCAAAAUACCCCAAAGGAUUCACCUCAUCUCUACUCACCUUCCUCUUCUCCUCCAAUGGCAGAGCGAAGAAUUUCCUCGCCGCACCCUCAAUUUUCCGGCGAGACUCCGAGGGCACCCCAUGGUUGAUGACUUGAAAGAAGCCCCAAUUCUUGGAUGCGUCAGCUAUUUGAGAAACAUGGUUGGAAGCAUUGGCGGAAGAGAGAUCAAUGAGGGGGAUGCCUUCAGCUUCGAUAACAGCGAGCUUAGGCCUAUGUUGGGUGUCUUGGAUGAAGGCUGGAUCGACCUCUCCCAUGGCUGUGGUAGUGGUUGGAAGUUAGAAAUGGGGGUUAAGCACUGGUGGCAGCAGGUGUAGAUGGUGACGGGAAAUUGGGCCACACGGCAGGUGGUUUUUGUAGUGUGGUGGGGUUGGUUUAGUACAUUGAACCUGGGCAUAAUUUGGGUUACUUUUUAAGGUUUGGUUGAGGGUGUGACCUCAUGGAUUGCGCAUAUAUUAAUGAUAAUUGGUCAAGUGAUACUGCAGUCCCAAAGGGAAUCUCUCUCAAUGAUUUUGCCGACAGCUCCCUCCACAUUAAAAUGUUUCAUCCGUAUUUGAAUUGGAGUCUAAUGCUCUGAUCAAAGAUACCUUUCGCUUAGUCGAUCAGUGUUUGAUUACUAAAUAAGAUGGUGUCACAAAUAUUUUUGAAUUCUAGGUCAAAGUUAACGAGUGCAAAGGUUAUCAAUUUGAUAAGAUAAAUUGUUUAGAAACACUUUUAAAAAUGAUUCUUGAAAAAAUAUUUUUUUAAGUUUAAAAACCAUUUUUAAAUUUAGAAUAAAGGUUUAUUUAAAAACUUAUAUUAUUAUAAACUUAUUUUUUAUAUUUUUAAAAAAUAAUUUUUAUAUAUAAUAUUUUAUUUUCAAUCAUUUUUUACAUUUUUUUUAAAAAGGUAAAACUACUAAAAAAAAUACUUAAAAUAAGUUAUCAACAAAUGUCUUAUUGUCAUGACAAUUUUCAAAAACAUGUUUUAGAAACAAUUGAAAAUCAAAGUAUUUUCAUAUUCCUUUAUUCCCAAAAACAAAAAAUUAUUCUUGGUAACGGUUCCAAAUGUAUCCUUCAUUUGUUUAUCUUAUUAUAUAAGUUUUAAAAUAAAAUACAAAAAAUAAUUUUCAAUGAUAAUUUGUUACGGUUUUAUCCAAAAUUUUUAUAUUUUUAAUCAAUUAAUUUAUUGAUACGUAUAUUUCUCAUGAGACCUUUUUCUCACUAAAAACAUUACUUUUUUAUAAGACAUUUUUAAUAAAUUAAUUUUGAUACGUAGAUUAAAAAUGUCUUAUAACAAUAUAAAUUAAUUAAAUCAUUAGUUGGCCAUUUGGUCUCAUGCUUACACAACGACUUCUCUCAUGGCUGCCUAACAUGAAUGAACAACUCUCUACAACAAGUAAGGUACACUUAAUUAAAAAAUUAUUUAAUUUAAAGAUGUUCGAGAAUGAGAAUUUCAAGUAGCACUUGAAUGAAUUUAAUGAGACCACAAAUUAAUUAAAUUCGAUGGUUAUUAAAUUUGAUGAUAAGAUUCAAGCCUUAUUAAUCCUCGGUUAAUUGCUUGAGAGUUGGAAAGACACAAUCACCUCAAUCAAUAGUUCAUCCAAAAAAUCAAAAUUGGUGUUUUCGAAUGUAGUAGACAUGAUUAUAACCGAGGAGAUCAAGAAGCAUGAAGAAGGUUUUUCAAAUUCAUGAUCAACAUUAAAUAUGGAGAGCAAAGCUAGAAAUCAUAAUAAAGGUAAUAGGCGUGAUAAAUCCAAAUCGAGGAAUGAUAGGUUGAAAUACAAAAAUUCCAUAAAUUCCUAACAUCAGACGAGUAAGAACAAUAUCAAAUGUUGGAAUUGUGAUUGGAGCUAAAAUAUGUGCUCAAAUGACAUAUAUUUGAUAUGAUUUAUAUAUCAUAAGACACUCAAAUCAUCUGACUCUACCCAAAUUGAUACUAAGGUCCUAGCCAUGAGUUUAACUUGUAUUUUGGAGAUUUAUCUCAGGUUUAAGAAAAGAAAAUGGUGUAAGGUGAAUCAAUUUAGAUUUUGAAAGAAUAAGAAGGGGUUAAAUGAGAAAAUGAACAAGUCAAGACUCAUGAAAUAUGAAGAAAGGAAAGACGAGGAUAUCGUGAGUUUGGGAGAUGAGGAAUGACCAUUAUCAUGAAGUAAGAAAUAAGGCAUACAAACAUAGAAAAUGAGGCAUGAAACAAAAUUCAUCAAGUUUGCAUGGAAAUUUGGGACUCAAAAUCUGGUAAUAACAUAUACUCUGACUUUAAAAUGAAAUUUGGAGCAUUUCCCAAAGUCCAUUUUAGGCAAGCUAUAUAUUGUUUUGAAGCAUGGGAAGUUAGGAAUUCAAAGCUUCAAACAAUGUCCAAAUUAGAGCUAAAUAAGGAAGUUAUGCACAUUUAAAGCAAACUAGUUAGAGAGAAAAACUGAGUUCGAAAUUGGUCACUUGGAUUUGAAAUGGUUUUUGUCCAUUUAAAACUCAAAGAAAUGAAAGAAAACUUUUGGCAUUGGCUAAGUUUGAAUCUCUUUACCUAUUUCAAACAAGAGGCAUACAUUUCAAAGUCAAAUGAACAUACAUGGGCAGUGAGUGAGUUCAAAAUUCACUAUGAAUUUUGAACUCACCUUGUUGAUUUCAAAUUGGACCAUUUAUUUCCCACUUAUGAGUUCAAAAUUGAUUUGAACUCACCCAAAUUUCGAACUCAACCAUUAGUGACCGAUUUUAGGCUCUGAGACAUGUCAAAACGAGUUUCAAAUGCCUUUAUCCAAUUCAAAACGCAUCAUACUCAUUUAGAACUCGUAAUUUUUGGGGUUUUUUUUAAAGGUUAUUUAUGACUUUUCGUUACAAUAAGUGGCCAAUGAGAGUGUACCACAUGUUAGGUCAUUGAAGUUACUAUAAAAACUCUUUUAGUUAUAGUGUUUAGGUGAUCUUCCAAGAGUUAGACAUUUCGUGGGGAAGAAUACGAGAACUUUUGGUUUAUUUAUUUUCUUCUUUAUUGAAUGUAUUGUUUUUAGUUUCCUUUAUUUCAAAUUAUGAAUUUUUACUUUAUUAUGGAUUGUGAAUGUGACAUUACCCCCAUGAGAGGAUAAAAAGCUAACUUGGGGCUUAAACAUAAAAACUAACGGUUAGAAAACUUAUAGGGACAUUAGGUAAAUUAUUAUAACAAUAAGAUUAAUUAAUGGUUGAGUUACAAUUUAUUAAUUUUUUAUCCUAUCAUUGUGAGUUAGUUUAGAGAAUAAUAUAGUAGGUGAUUAUUCGAUACUAGUGAUUCUUGGUAACUCUUGAUCAUUAGUAAUCCUGAUUUUUCUUAUAGUUAUCUGCCCCAAAACGAAGUUAGAAGGAGUAGGAAAUGUUAAAAAGCCAAACCUUAAAUUGAUAAUAAUUUCAUUCAUUUGAUGUGUUGACAAAUCAGAGGGUUGGCUGCAUCCAUCAACUCUCUUUGUGUUCGCCGUGAGCACUUGGGUGAAUGCACUAUAAGGUUAGAGUAUGCACAUUUCUUAACAGCAAUUGCUUUUAGGAGAAUUGGUAGUGCCUGAGGUCCUACAUGAUAGUUUUAAGAACUUGUUUUAAAAAGAAAAAUUAAGUUUUAGAUGUACUUUUGAGUUAUAGGGCUCAAGUUGAUUGCAAGCGGCCAAGAAUCCCAAAACCCUAAGAUCACUCUAGUUAAGAAACCUUUGUUAUCUCUAUUUCUAUACCUUAAGUUAUAUUGUGGAAAACCUCAAACUUAAAUCAAUUAAAUUAAAAAUCAAUAUUCGUUUUGUUAUUAAUUUAGUUUUUUUUUUUUUUUACUUAGUUUCACUUCAUAAAAGUUAAUUCACAUAUUGUUUUUCGCUUUAGGAUUUAAAUAAAAACAAUUCAUUUAUCCUAGUAUUGAAAAAUUCCAUAUGUUAGUCCCUAAGGAUGAUACCCAAAGAAUUACAAAAACCAUAGUGACUAUUUCUCUAGUUUUUUCUUAACCAAAGUUACUAUGUAAAAAGGCUUAGUAUUUUACAUAAGAGAGAAGAUUGAUCAAAUUGUGGAAAGAAGAGACAUUAUAAAAAUGAGUGUAAGGCUGCCAAGAAGGAUAAGGAUGGUGACAACAAGACCAAUGCAAAUGUUGUGUCAAAAGAAUUAGAUGAUGCUCUUAUCUGCUAUUUAGAGAGAACAACAUAAUCGUGGGUAUUAGAUUCAGGGGCAUCGUUCCAUGCUACCUCAAGUGGAGAAUUAUUUGAGAAUUAUGUCUCAGGUAAUCUAGGGAAGAAGUAUCUAGGUGAUGACCAAGCAUGUGUUGUUAUUGGCAUAAGUGAAGUGCAUAUCAAAUAUUUGAAUGGAUUUGUAUGGAAUUUGGACAAUGUGAGGCACAUUUCAAACCUGAGAGAUAAUUUUAUUUCCAUUGGGUAGUUAACAAAAGAUAGUUAUGUGACAACUUUUUUAGGUGACACAUGGAAUAUCUCAAAGGGAGCUAUUUGCCAUGGCAAGAAGAAUGAUACUCUUUACAUGACAAUGAAUGGUUGUGGGUUUAUUACAAUUGUUGAGAGCAAAGAAGAUUCGAAUUUAUGGCAUUAAAGGCUUGGUCACAUGAGCAAUGAGGGGUUGGAAAUUAUACACUCAAAUGGGAAGUUGUCAAGUUUGAAAUAAGUUGACAUUGACAUGUGUGAAAAUUGCAUACUUGGGAAACAAAGAAGGGUUAGCUUUAAGAAAGUUGGAAAAACUCCAAAAGAAGUAAAACUGAAGUUAGUUUAUACAAAUGUUUGGGGACUUGCUUCAAUUUCAUCUAUCGGUAGAAGAUUUUUUUUUGUGACCUUCAUUGAUGAUCAUUUGAGGAAAGUGUGGGUAUACUUUAUGAUACACAAAUGAGAAGUGUUUGAUGUAUUCAAGAGACGGAAAACAAUGGUGGAGAAUAAGACAUGUAUGAGAGUCAAGAAGUUACGGUUUGAUAAUGGUAGGGAGGAUGAAGAAUUUGAGUUCAAGAAGAUCUAUUAUGAAAAUGGAAUUAAAUUAGAGAAGACCGUGCCAAGGACACCUUACCAGAAUGGUAUAGCAUAAUGAAUGAACAAGACAUUGACUGAAAGAGAAAAAAAACGUGUAUACAAGCAAGGUUGUCAAAGGAGUUCUUGGCAAAAGCAAUCAACAAAACAACUUACUUGAUCACAAAAUACUGGAAAAAGUGUGAACUAAAAAAAAGGUAAAGUUUUCUCAUUUGAGGGUAUUUGGUUGUGUAUCAUAUAUAUAUAUAUAUAUGUGUGUGUGUGUGUGUGUGUGUGUGUGUGUGUGUGUGUGUGUGUGUGUAUACAUAUUAGUGAUCAUGACAUAAACAUACUUGAUGCUAAAUCACUAAAAUGUACUUUCUUAGCUAUGGUGUUGAUAAUUUUGGUUAUUAGUUUUGGGAUGACCAGAGUAAGAAAGUGAUUAGAAGUAAGGAUGUCGAUUAGAAGUAAGGAUGUCAUAUUUAAUGAGAAAGUUUUGUAUAUGUAGAGAGAUGCAACACAUUCCAAUAGUCUGGUACAACUUGAACCUAUUUACUUUGAGCCAAAUGAUGUCCCAUUGAAUAACAUGACAAAUAAGACAGGUCAUAAUCAUUAGAUUGAGGAAAAUACUGCAUAAGAUGUUAAUAUAUCACAAGAUCUAGUUUCAAUUCCUACUUUGAGGAGAUCUAACAAGCCACAUGUACCAAAUAGGAAGUAUUUAAAUUAUUUGCUACUAAUAGAUGGAGGUGAACCUAAAUGUUAUGAUGAGGCAUGUCAGAUGGAAGAUAAUAGAAAGUGGGAGCUUACGAUGAAAAAUGAAAUGAAGUCCCUUAUUCUUAACCAGACUUGGAAGCUAGUCGAGUUACCAAUGGGUAAGAAAGUUUUUCAUAAUAAGUGGGUGUAUUAAAUUAAGUAGGAGCAUGGUGGUUCUAAGAGAUAUAAGGCUAGAUUGGUGGUCAAAGGGUUUCAAUAGAAGAAAAAUGAUUGACUAUACAUACAUUUUCUCUCUAGUUGUGAAACUAACUAUUAUUCAAUAUGUUUUGAGUAUUGUAGCAAUAAAGAGUUUACAUAUAGAACGGUUAGAUGUGAAGAUAGCUUUCCUCUAUGGUGAUUUUGAUGGGGAAAUUAGUAUAUAUGCAACAACUAGAGGGUUUUGUAGUGAAGGGUAAAGAGAAUCUGGUGUGCAAAUUAACUAACAGUCUGUAUGAUUUAAAACAAGCCCCAAGACAAUGGUAUAGAAUAUUUGGUAGUUUCAUGCAAAAGAAUAGGCAUCUCAAGUGCAAUGCAGACCAUUGUUGUUACUUUAAGAGAGUUGGUUCUAUCUAUAUUAUUUUGUUACUUUAUGUUGAUGGCAUGUUAGUAGUUGACGCAAAUCUAGAUGAAAUUAACAAGUUGAAGAAAUAGUUGUCUAGUGAAUUUGAAAUGAAGGACUUGGGAGCAACAAAGUAGGUACUUGGGAUGAAGAUUAGCAAAGACAAAUAAACGAGCAUCUUAUGGUUAUCUUAGGCUAAGUAUAUAUACUCAUAAAGUAUUGCAAAUAUUCGACAUGAGUAAUGUAAGGCAAUUAGAACAUCAUUAGCAAAUCAUUUCAGGUUGUCUAAUUAAGCAUUGCCCAUGGGCAGAUGAGGAAAAAGACUUCAUGGCUAAGGUUUCAUAUGCCUUAGCCAUUGGAAGUUUGAUGUAUGUUAUGAUAUGCACGACACUAGACAUUGCCUAUGCAGUGGAAGUUGUGAGCAAAUUUAUGUCAAAUCUAAGUAAGUAGCAUUAUGAAGUAGUGAAAUGGAUGCUUAGGUACUUACAGGGUACUACAAAAAAAUGUCUAUGUUUCGAAAGGGGUGAGUUAAAAUUGCAAGGAUAUGUGGAUGUUGAUUUUGCCAAUGAGAUAGAUAAUUGGAAAAGUACUACAUGGUAUGUGCUCACUUUGGGUACUAUUGCUAUUAGUUUGAUUUCUCAAUUGUAGAAGAUUGUUAUUUUAUCUACAAUUGAAGUAAAAUAUGUGGCUAUCACAGAAGCUAGAAAAGAAAUGAUUUGGCUAUAGAGUUUGUUAGCAAAGUUAGGAUUCAAAUAAGAUAUGAAUGUUUUGCAUAGUAAUGGCCAAAGUGCAAUACAUUUGGCUAAGUAUUCAACAUUUCAUUCAAGAACUAAUUAUAUUACACUUCAUUAUCACUCCAUCAGGUUUUUGCUUGAAGAUAGGGUGUUAACAUUUGUGAAGAUACAAGGUAGCAAGAAUCCGGUUAACAUGUUAACUAAAAUAGUGAUAAUAGAAAAAUUGGAGUUGUGUGCAACUUCAAUUGGUCAAUAAUGAGAAUAGGUUGUUUGAGUGCACCCUCAUACCCAUUAAUCAUUGAAAGAGAAUGUUUACUUGUGUUUUAGUCUUCAAGUGGAAGAUUGUUGGAUUGUGAAGCUUGAAUCAGUUUUAUUAUGCCCCGAUCAACUUGUAGGGAUUGAAGGGCGCAAUGCUCUAUGGAGAAUUUAUUUAUUUAUUUUUAUGUAAUGAUUGACAGGUUUAAUCUUAUUAUAUAUUUUAACCCUUUUAUGUUUUAAGGUUUUGUUUUUUAAUGUGUAGUUGCAAUUGAGAGGUUUUUUGAGAGCUUUGCUAUUCCACUCCUUCUCAUCCCUUUUAUAGUGAAUUGUUGUAUGUUGGUGUACUCCAUUGAUGUAGGGAUCAAAUUGAUCGUAAAACCAUUUUUUUUUUUUUUUUGUUUCUAUUUAUACAUGAGUGUGUGCGUGAUUUGGUUAACAUCAGUUAUCUUAAUAAUUCUAUUCCUGGAAUAGGAAGAAAAUGAUGAUUCCAUUAAUGUAGCAUGCAUUGCUGCUUAUUUAUCAAGCAAAUUACAUUAUUAUUACACCAAACCUCCAAAUUCACCACGUACGUAUCGUAUAUACCGCAUGAUAAGAUUUAGAGAGGUAAAACAAGCGCUUAUUGUUUACGGAUAGAUAAUGUCCCACCGACCUUUUACUCUGAUACCUUGAAAUGAGAAAUUUGGAGGUUUUCCACACCAAGCUUCUUGAGAUUACCGCGCUUUCUCGUAGCGAAGAACUUUCCCCAGUUGUAUGCUCUAUACUUUGGUUUUUCCCCCUUCGUCAGCUCCUCCAAGGGCUGCACCCAAAGAUGGUGCGCGGGAUUGAAAAAGAACGGAAUCGAGAACCUUUCCCUCUCUGAAUUCAGUAUCACUCUGUGCUCCACACUCUCAUAAGUUUCGUUGCUCCAAACCUGGUUUAAUAUCAGUAUAAUUAGCCAAAUAGGUGCAAAAUUCGGUGAGCGAAAUAACUGAUAAGCAGGUGCUUAUAAUUCAAAGUUCUUGGGUGGUACCUGAAUUAUAUCCCCAACAUUGAUGAUUUAAGCAUCUGGGGUGGGCUUCACUCGAACCCAUUCUCCGUCGGUUUUUCGCUUUACUUCCAACCCUCCGACAUCAUCCUGGGCAAGGAUGGUUAAGGCUCCGGCAUCCUUGUGGUGACCAACGCCCAGAGCUAGGUGAGGGACAGGGCAAGGUGGGUAGUGAUUGAAGCGGACGAAGCUCGUUGAUUCUUCAAAGAAAAGAUUGAAUCUGUUUUCUGGCAAACCUAAGCUCAGAGAGAUGAGUCCCAUCAGCUUGAAAGCUAGUUUUUCCGUUUCUCUCGCAUAUUCUUCACAGACCUCCCUGUAUAAAUCAGUUCAAUUAGAACAAAACAAACUAAGUAAUUUACUGUAGUGACUGUGCCUUAGCUGGUGAAAUUUGUACCUUAAUUCAGGAGGGUACUGAGGCCACCGAUUGGUCAGCUCUAUGAGCUCCUUGUCCUCAGGAUCAUCCGAAGCAGGGCCGAAGGCGGGGGUUCUCACCACGAAAUCAAAGACUUCUUUCCAGUCCCUAACGUUCUUGGUAUGCUCAGUAUCAAAGUACCCAAAAGGAUUCACCUCAUCUCUACUCACCUUCCUCUUCUCCUCCACUGGCAGAGCGAAGAACGUCCUCGCGGCAUCCCAAAUUUUCCGGCGAGACUCCAAGGGCACCCCAUGGUUGAUGACUUGAAAAAAGCCCCAGUUCUUGCAUGCAUCAGCUAUUUGAGAAACAUGAUUGGAAGCAUUGGCGGAAGAGAGAUCAAUGAGGGGGAUGCCUUCAGCUUCGAUAACAGCGAGCUUAGGCCUAUGUUGGGCGUCUUGGAUGAAGGCUGGAUUGACCUCUCCCAUGGCUGUGGUAGUGAUUAGAACUUAGAAAUGGCAAUUAUGCUCUGGUAGCUGCAGGUGAAGAUGGUUACAGGACUUGGGCAACUCGGCAGGUGGUUUUUAUAGCAUAAUAGGGGUGUUGGUUUAAUACCUUGAACCUGGACAUAAUAUGGGUUACGUGUUAAGUUUUAGUUCGGGGUGUGAGCUCAUGGGUUGCGCAUAUGUUAAUGAGAUUUGGUCAAGUGAUACCUAGCUAUUUCCACGGCACCCUCAAUAUUCAAAUAUUUCAUCCGUACUCGAUUUGGAAGGUUGAUUAGUAAAUCUGAUGGUGUAAUGUCUAUUUUUGAAUUCAAUGCUAUAUAUUUAACGGUGAAGAUAAGAAAAAUAGAAGAGUUGAUAACGUUGAAGAAAAAAUGCCAAAGUUUUAAGAAGGUAGAGUUUUGAUGAGAAAUAGGUAAAAUUAAAAUUGCAUUAUAAUAAUAUAAAUUAAUUAAAUCGGUAAUCACCCAUUUAAUCUCAUUCUUAUCCACAAUUGUUGAUAGUUGAUCCUACAAAAUUCUAAAAAAAUCUUCCACAAAGACAAAUCACAAGAUGUUCAAUAACAUAUAUGCUUUUGCACCAAAAAUUGUAUAAGGGAAAAAAAAAUGAUGCACAAAAAAAAAAAAAAAAAAAUUCUAUAUCUAAUAUUAUUUCAUAGGAAAACUAACUAUAAUAAAUUUUAAAAGCAAAGAGCGUUUUACCAUAUCUAAAUAAUAGAUUAUUAAAUUCUUUAUUUUUCAAUUGGAUAUUUUUUUUUAAAUUAGAAACAUCUAUAUAAAAAUAAAAAUCACUUUAAAAAAAUUUUAAAUUUAAGAUAAUAAAUUUUUUAUAAUAUUUUAAUUCUUUUAAAUAAUUUUUAAAAUUAUUAUUUUUUCAAUAUAAAAUUUUAAGAGUUUUUGUAUUUUAUAUAUAAGUUACUAAUAUUCUCUUAUUUUAAACAUAGAAAAUAAAAAAUGUAACCAAAUGAAUUAGAAAAUAAAAAAGUUGAAUAAAAAUAGUCUAACCAUCUUAAACCUAAUAAUGUUUGACAGAAAACACUUAAAUAUACCUUGUAAUUUUCCUCACUGGUCAGCUCCUCCGAAGGCUUCACAUUCACAUGGUGCGCCAGUAAGAAGAAGAAUGGAAUCGAAACCCUUUCCUUCUUGUGUCGACCCACACUGAGAGCGAGCUCCAGCCACGAGCACGAUGGAUGGUGAUUGAGUCGGAUGAAGCAUUAGCCUUCAAAGAAUUCAUUCAACCGAUCCCCCACCAAGCCUAAGCUUAAGGAGAUGAGUUCCAAGAACUUGUAAGCUAAUUUUUCUAUUUCUCUAAUAUAGUUUUUCCAAAUUUUCCUGAAAAUAAAUCAUUAUAUAAAAUAUAUCAAUACUCAAAAUAAAUUUAAUAAAAUCUUGUCUUGCCUUUAUGUCUCUAGUUGAGUCUGUUUGGCUUCAAGCUGUGCAUUUAUGUCUCCGGUUGAGUUUGUUAGGCUUUGAGUCGCACCUUUACACCUCUAGUUGAAUAUGUUCGACUUUGAGCCAUGCCUUUACGUUUUGAGUUGAGUCUAUUCGGCUUUGAGCCACGCCUUUACAUUUUAGUUGAAUCUGUUCGAUUUCAAGCCGUGCAUUUACAUCUAUAAUUGAGUCUAUUCAGCUUCAAAUUGCAUCUUCACAUUUUUUGUUGAAUCUGUUCAGCUUCAAGCCACUCCUUUAUGUCUCUAAUUAAAUUUGUUUGGCUUUAAGUUUCACCUUUAUGCCUUUAAUUGAGUUUGUUCGGCUUUUAGUUGCGCUUUUACGUUUUGAGUUGAGACUAUUUGGCAUCGAGUUGCAACUUUAUGUUUCAAGUUGAAUUUGUUUAGCUUCAAAUCGUGCCUUUACAUCUCUAGUUGAGUUUGUUCGACUUCAAGUCAUGCCUUUAAGUCUCUAGUUGAGUUUUUUUAGCUUUGAGCUGCGCCUCUACAUCUCUAGUUGAAUUUGUUUGGCUUCGUAUCACAUCUUAUGUUUCGAAUUGAGUUUAUUCGACUUCGAGUUGUGCCUUUAUGUUUCUAGUUGAGUCUAUUCAGCUUCAAGCUGCACCUUUACUUUUUGAAUUGAGUUUGUUCGGCUAUGAGCAAUGCUUUUACAUUUCAAGUUAAGUCUGUUUGGCUUUGAGUUAAGCCUUUACGUCUCUAGUUAAGUCUAUUCAACUUCGAGCCGCAUCUUUCAUUUUUGAGUUGAGUGUGUUUGGCUUUGAACCACACCUCUAUGUUUCAAAUUAAGUCUAUUCAUCUUCAAGUCGCACUUUUAUGUCUUUAGUUAAGUUUGUUCAGCUUCGAGCAAUGCCUUUAGGUUUGAAGUUGAGCCUAUUUGACUUCAAGCCACACCUUUACAUCUCUAGUAGAGUUUGUUUGGCUUCAAGCUAUGCCUUUUUGUUUCGAGUUUAGUCUGUUCAGUUUUGAGCCAUGCCCUUACGUUUCAAGUUAAGCCUAUCCGGCUUCAAGUCGCGUCUUUACAUUUUGAGUUAAGACUAUUCGACUUCAAGCUAUGUCUUUACAUCUUUAGUUGAGUUUGUUCAACUUCAAGCUACGCCUUUACGUUUUGAGUUAAGUCUAUUCGGUUUCAAGUUGUGUCUUUAUGUUUUGAGUUGAGUCUGUUUGGCUUUAAGUCACACUUUUACGUUUUGAGUUGAGUCUCUUCAACUUUGAACUACACCUUUAUAUAUCCAGUUGAGUCUGUUCGAAUUUGAGUCACACCUUUGAGUUUUGAGUUUAGUCUGUUCGGCUUUGAGCCACACUUUUACAUCUCUUGUUGAGUCAUAUUUAGCUUCAUUCUACGCCUUUACAUUUCCAAUUGAGUUUAUUUAGCUUUGAGUUGUGCCUAUGUUUUAAAGUUUGUUCAAUUUCGAGCCACAUCUUUAGCCUUAUUAAGUUUGUUCAAGUUUAGUUGUGCCCUCACCCAUAUCCUUAGUUUUAAGUUUAUUCAGCUUCAAGCCAUGCGUUUGUCCUUGUUAAGUAAGUUCGGCUUCGAGCCACGUCUUAGUUUUGAAGUUGUUUAUCCUUGAGCCACACCUUCCUUUCUUUUUUAGUUCACUUAGGGUUUUCUCCUUCCUCGAGUUUAUUAGUGCAUUCGAGUUCAUUUUUCUUUAAGUUGAUCACUCUUUAUCUUUGUUGUCCUUGAAUUGUUCAUUGUGUCACAAUUCAGUGUUUUUCAUUGCAUAUAUACUCCCCACAUUGUCUAUAUUUUAUCCUGAUGAGUUUCUUUCCCAAUACGUGACCUCGAUCUUUGAGUUUAGCAUGCCAUGUGCUAAGACAAUUUCGAGUGCUCUUUUGUUCUUCAAUGCAAUUCACUUCAUACCAUUCAUCACUCAUGUUUCACUGUUUGUGUUCAUUUCAUUCGUGAUCUACAUCGGAGAGAGACAUAUUUGUUGGCCCUUUACUUUGUCCUAUAAUACAUAUUUUCACAUUUUUUUAUUUUCCUCUUGCCCCAUACUCAUUUUUGGUGCUCGUUUUGGAUCCUUCUUGUUUGAUCAUUCAUGGUCCCUUAUUGGUCCACGUUUACUUGACUCAUUAUUCAUUUUUUAGUCGCAUUUUAGAGGCCAUGUAGGAGGAAUUUUGAGUACAUGCAAGCUUAUUUUUUAGAGACCCUUAGUAGUUGGCUCAUAUGAGGACACGCCUCCUCACACUACUACAAAAAUCAUUUAUGGUGUCACUAUUUAUAGUGACACUUUUAAAAUAAUGACACCAUAUAGCUUAAAAUCCACAAAGGUGACACAUCAUAUAAAAAUUUUCAAUUAGGAUCAAUGAUAUUAAUUUUAGGUUUAUAAUGUCAGUUGCCAAAAAAUGACACCAUAUAAAAUAUUUUUUUUCUAAAUAUUAUAACUCAAUUGGCCCACUUUGAGAAUAAUGAUAGUAUAUAAAAAAAUCAUUGUUUCCACAUACCCACAAUCCAAAAAAAUUUCAUUCCAUAACCCUAACCAAAAUUUUUUUCUACCUCUUCUCACACCCAUAGUUAACACACAACUGUUCUUCUCUGCUUUGUGGACUCUCAGGUAACCCAAAAUCUCUUAGAUCUAUCAUUUUCAUUUAUUUUUUUAUUAAUGUCAAAAUCUUUAUGAACACAAUUGAUUUAUGUUUAUUGAUUUAAUAUAUUUGUAAUAUGGAUUGUGUAAAUAGUGUUUUUUUAUUGAGUUGUAGGAAAGUAAAAACUAGGUUUAACAUUCCACCAUAUCUUCUGGUUCAUUGUUAAACCCAUAAACCCCAAAAUGAAUGAAAAUAAGAAAAAUGAAUUAUUUUUAAAUAUCUUUUAUACUCAAGAUAAUAUAUAAACAUUUUACAAUACAAAAUUUUUUUUUGAUCUUGUAGGAAAUUUCCUUUGAUAGGAUUUUCUGUUUGUUUUCAAGGAAUAUUGUAGUAUAUUGUGAUGAAGAUAUUGAUUGGUGUUAUUUGAAAAAUAAUUUUUUAGAAAAUUAUUCUCAAUAUUAUCAUCUCCCACAAAAUGAAAAAUGAAAUAGUUUUCAUAUCAUAUUGGAGUCGGUUUGGAAUGUUGGAAUUAACAAUGAGAAAUUAAUUUUAUUUUUUAUUUAUUAAUGUAAAUGAAUUGUUUUUUUUUUAAAUUUAAAUAGGAAUGAAAAUUUUUAUAAUUAUAAAAAUGAUCAAAUAUUAUAUUUUGAUUUUUUUUUCUAUUCUUUUACAUGGUAUUAUGGUUAAUAUCUCAUCUUGUUCUAUAUAUAUUUUUUAUAUUCUUAAAAUAUGUUUUUUGCUUUUUGUUUUUACUUUCUUUUCUUAUUGUUUUUAUAUGUGUUGACCAAAAUUUAGAGUAAUUUGAGAUUGGCGAUAAAAUUUUCCUUUCAAGGUUAGAAAAUUUCUAUAAAAUCAUUUUAUUACAUAAUUUUUUCAAUUCCUUCCAUAAAACUCUUCCUUUUUCCUUUUUUAAGAAGAUGUUUGAUAAUUUUCUUUUGAUUUCUAUGAAAUUUCCUUUUAUUGGACUGUUUGUUUAUUUUCUAAGAAUAUUAUAGUAUGUUAUGAUGAGGAUAUUGGUUGGUGAUAUUUGAAAAUUAAUUUUUGAGAAAAUUAUUCUCAAUAUUGUCAUCUGCCACAAAAGGAUUUUAAAAGUAUGUUUUAUUUUUGCCUUCUUUUCUUAUUGUUUUUAUAUGCAUUGACCAAACUUUGGAGUAAUUUGAGAUUGAUGAUGAAAUUUUCCUUUCAAGGCUAGGAAAUUUCUAUAAAAUCCUUUUAUUACAAUUUUUUUUUUUUUCCUAUUCCUUCCAUAAAACUCUUCCUUUUCUUCAUUUUUCUUUUUUGAUGUUUGAUAAUUUAUUGAUCUAAAGAAUAUUAAAAGUAAAAAAUUUAAAAUAUUGAAUAUUUUUUCCUUUGAUGUUGUUAUUUUAUUAUUAUUUUUAUUUGAACAUAUUUUUCAUAUCCAAAUUUUCUAUUAAUUAUUUUACUUUUAAAAAAAAUAUCAAUUGAAGUUAUGACUGAAAAAUCAAUAAUUUUUAUGAAAGGUUCUUUAAUUCUUUCUCAUACUAAUUUUUCUCUUAACAUUUCUUAAUAGUGAAUUAGGUUUUUUUGUUUUAUAUACACAAUUUUCAUGCUUGUUAUAAUAUCAUGUCCUAUCAUAUUAGUAGUUGAAAACAUUUUUAUAUUUUGUUACUAAAAUUUUAUUUUAUAUAAUUUACAUGAAUUUUAAUGGACAUUGUUAUUUCACAAAAUGAACAUUAAAAAAAAUAUUGAAAUUAAGAAAAUCCUUCCAAGAAAUAAAAAAAUAUAAAAAGAAUUGGAUGUUAAAAAUGAUUUUUAAAAGCAUUAUGAAUUAUAAAAAAUAAAUUUAAAAGAUUAGUAUUUUCUAAAAUUUUAGAUUUAUAUUUUGAUUUUGUAGUUUUGAUUUAUUUCAUAUUUUCUUGAAUUGUUUUUAUUUGAGUUCAAAUGUGACUACUUUGUUAUGAGAUUCAUUAAAAGGAUAAUUGUUGAUUCUACAGUUAUUGCAUUAAAGGUUUUACUCAUUUAAUGAAUUGUACAUAGUUUCAUACUUCUAAUUAUUGUGAUAUUAAUGUUAUUUUCAUUUGAUUUUAGUUUGAUGACAAAAAACAUAUUCUCAAGUAGACUUUGAUGAAAUAAGAGGAGAAUGGAUUGCUUUUGUGUUAUAACUAAUCAUGAAUCAUGUUGAUGUAUCGUGAUCAUGCAUGGUGAGUCCCUUAGUUGUUAUAUAAAUUUUCCAUUGGUAUUGUAUAACAUUACUUAUUCUUUAUGAACUAUUUUUAUAUCAAAAUAGGAAAAAGAAAAAAGGAAACAUUAGUACUUAGAUUUGUUUAUUUUUUUAUAACAUCACUAUGGACCCCGCAUUUUCGGCUCGAUGCGUUUCCCACUCGAUGGCGAGCUCGAUUUUUAAUUUUGAAAAAUGAUUUUUAUUCAUUAAAAAUGACUUGGAGUCGCCACUUAUUUUUGUUUUAUUUUUAAAGGGUAAACAAAAUAAGAAAAAAAAACCCUAAGUGUGACUCCUUAUUUUAGAAAAGGCGAUCUACGAAAAAACCGGAUUGGGCUCGGGGGUUAGGUUACUUAUCGGGAAGGUACGGUAAAGACCGUAGCACCCCUCUAAGUCCCUAAAAUCGGGUCUUUACUAAUAGAAUGAAGCUGACGUGGCAGUCAACAAGAAAAUCGAUGAAUAGUCAAAUCAAUCAUGCACAAUAUGAGAAGCAAAACAUGUAUAAAGAAUGAGCGAAAUAUGAAUAGAUGCGUACCUGGACGGCAAUCACGAACGCGCUAUCAUGAAACAUGGUUAGUGAACAAUGAACAGAUAUAAUUAAGCGCAUAUCAAGGAAUAGAGUAAAUCAAUCAUGCAUAGCAAAUAAAUAAAUCAAUUAGUUAAUCGAUUAUAAAUCACAUAUGUGGGGCCCCACCAAAGUCCAUUUAUUUUGCAUGAUUUAAUUCCAAUAACUCCAUUACUUGGAAUUACGGAAAUGAAUUCUUGCUUAUUUUAAAACGUUUUAAAACGAAGGAGAUGUGGAAAUUAUUUGCUAGAAGGAAAGAUGACAACAAAAUUUUAUUGGAAAUGAGAUUUUUGAGUGAUCCUAAAAAUUCUAAAGAUGAAAAUUUGAAAAAUAAAUAAAUAAAUAAGAAUAAAAUAAAAUUAUUUGAAAAUCUAGAAAUUGGAAACUAUUUGAAAACGGGAAAUUUGGAAAUUAAUUUAAAAUUGAAGAUAAAGAAAUAAAUAGAUAAAUAAAAAAAUAAAUAAAGGACACGUGACUCAAAAUGUGGUCAUGCAUAGUUGCUUGUAAAUUGGACAGCCAGUUGCUUCUCAUACUCUCAGCGUCAAGAUGUUCCUUGAUGUAGUUGCCCCAUGUGUCAUCCUUAGCCGUGAUAAUGCAUGUGUUUUCAUCCCAAUUAAAGUCACUUUGAUCAAGAAGUGCCUUGAUAGUGACAUAUUGCAUCCUCAAGACAUCAUACCGAUUCCUCAGUUGGUCCUUAUCCAUGGAUUCCCGCGAAAUAAAUCUGUUACCAGAACAUUGUAACCAUUGCAUGCAACGCGAUAUGCGGAGUCCCUUGUGGAUGAAUUUUCGAAGCCAAAGGCAUCAAACAAGAGCAGUAUCCCUGCCAACUGCGUGUUCAUCCAGCCGCUCAAUCACGCCACUAACAUGGGCACAGCGGAAAGCAUCAACACAACCUUAAUUCCUCUCUUGUAGCUGUUUAGCAGAUCCAAGUCUGUACAAGACUUGAUCUAUGGCAACGUCAUGAGGAUAUAGCCGCGGGGUAGCAUAUGAAUCCAAUCAAUGGGAAAUGGGCAUUAGGAAUGGUGGUCAGGCUUUGCAUGAUUUCAUACACGUGAAUGAGUGAUGCUGGGACCUUCAUGGAGGCUUUGAGUGGAUCUUUGGGCGGCGGUGUAGAAAGAGAAAGGUAGCAGGAAGAAAAGAAUGGGUGUGGGCUUGGUGGUAUGAAACGUGUGGUGUUAAAGAGGAAUGUGGCGUACAUGAGGAAAGACAUGGUGAGUGGAAUGAGCUAUGGGCAUGAGAGAAAUAGAGAAAAUGGGUAUGAAGGUUAAUGAGAGAGAACGGGCGUGUGAGGGUGGUAAAGGAAAAUGGAUGAUGGAUGCACAUAGGUGGAAAUGGGAAUGGAUUUGAUAAAGCAUGAAGGUAGGAAUGGGAUUCGGGUGAUAUUAGAUUACCAUGCAUGGAGAAUGUAUACGUGGAGGUCUAUUAUGCAAAGGAACUAAAAACGGGUCAAGUGAAGGGCUGUUUAGGGAAUAUGGCAUCAGUUUCAGGUUGAGGGGAUGGGGCCCUUGGGCCAUUUGGCUACCCACAAGUAUGAUCUACAAAAUAGGGUCCUUAUGUCAGGGUCAACUUUCGGAUUUUUGCAAAGCUGAUGCUACCAAUUUAAACUCUGAUCAAUCAGUGUCCGCGAUCUUGAGUCCUUCAAGCUGAUGCAACGCGUCUUUAGGAAGGUAGAGCCUCCAAUGAAUACUUUAGAUUUCGAUUUUUGAACAAUCAUGGCAGAACCCUUCAUCGAUUGGCAUUAUCAUUACCCUGGGAUUGCAGCAAGAUGCAUGGAAGGCUUCUUCACUAUUAUCACAAAUGAGCAUAUACAAUAUAUUUUCUGAAUGACCACACGAUUUACAUGGUUGGGAUGAGUUGCUAUUCCCACUAACUCCCAGAACUUCAAGAAGCUCCUGACUCCUCAGUAUAGAAAUGCGUGUAAUCAUUACCCUCUUGUUUGGCAUGACCUGUGCAUACCCAAGAAUGACACCUACUAACCAACCAAUUGAUCCUUAUUGCAUUUAGAACUCAUCUGCAUCCCCUAGUCAAUUUCAGUUUCUGACAGUUAAACCAAAAAUCCCCAGUCUCAGCAAUGACAGUAGUCUCACUUGACAACAUUUUCUGUAUAUGCUGGAACAGAACAUAAACCCUCAAAGGCUCCUCGGGAUCAGACGUAGGAGACUGUCCCUCAGGAACGUAAACUCUAUGGUAGAACUCAUAGGCAGUGAUAUUGCAUUCGAGCCUCUUGGAGAAUGACUUGAAGAAAUCUUUCAUCAAAAUGCACCCAAGCUCAAGCCCAUAAGCACACCAAACACCAUUAUUGGGUUCGUUACAUCACCAUGCUACGGAGUUUAUACAACAGGAAGCUCUAACUGAUGAUGGUUCUGGUAGUGAUUUGCCAAUGGGAACUUGGCCAUCAAGUGAACCCGAUAUCAGAAGCUGAAGUUAUUACCUUGUACUCUUCUAUUCCCCCAUUAUCAGCAAUUCCAAUGGAAACAGUAGGAGAGCCUCAAGACUGUGUAUCCAUUCAAUAACUCUGUUUCUCAGUCAGGAUGCAAAAAACUCCCCAAUGAUUCUACAGCUGCAACCACAGGAGCCCCACUACUACCAGUUCCUUCACCCAUUCUGACAGCAACCAAAACCAGACCAAUGACUUGAACUUUAGACUUCCCCAAUCCAUUAAAUCCAGAAACCACUUGGAGUUAGAAACAUUUUCUACCUCAUCCUAGAACUUUCAGGUAUUUUACAAAGUAAUGGUCGGUAUUUUUCAAAAGCAAAAAGAAAAAAAGGUAAGACUCAAGAAACAGAGCAAACUCAGAAUUCGUUAAUCAAGACUCCAUCUCAUGCUGCACUCAAUGGAUCUAAACAGGUGAGACAAGCAGGGAGCAGUGGCAUGAUUAAUCAAUCUCAAAAAUAAUCCAUAUAUCGGUUAUUGACAGGAAAAAACAAAGAAAGCAGAAAAGAACCCAAACAGAGCAAAUACAAAAACAAACUCAAAUUCAGCAAAUCAAUCCACAAUCAAGAAAAACUAACAAUGCUCAAGUAGCCUGAGAAAAAUGAUGAAGAACAGUGAUAAUGAAAAAUACCCUAAAAAAAAGAACACGAUACUUCAUACCUGUGAAACUCCUCUCCGAUGAAGCUCACCUACCAAACCAAUCUGCUCCCAUCCUUGGCACUAGAACCCCUCUCCGUAGCAGCCUAAGCUCAAGGAAAUCCCUCUCCAGACCGAUCUCUUCUUUCUUCUCAAGUUCUUUUCUCCUCCUCUCAAAAUAUCUCUCCCUGAAAAACGGCAGCCAAAACCUCCCUCUGCAGCUGGCCUGCCCCCGUAACAGAAUACCCCCCUCUAGCUUUCUCACUACCCUCAAAAGCACCCUCUCUCUCCUGCAGCUGCAAGCCUCCACUACCCCCAUGCAGCUGGCAGCCUCUACUCCUCUAACGGCCAGCAGAUUCUCCUUCUAGAAAAUUCUUUCCCUUUUCCAGGUGUCUUUCCCUGAUUGGCCCAUCAAUUCCACUAUAGUGAUUCUACAGUGACCAAUCCUAAGAAGGCACGUGGCCUUAUGAGAUUGCGACACUUGGCAAACACAGGCUGCCAAAAAGUGAGCCCCCAAAUGGGGGUCUACAAUCACAUUUUUAUUUUCAAUAAGAACUCUAAAACUCAUUAAACUAUAAAAUGCAGAUAUACACUCUUGAGAGGACAAUAUGAAGAAUAAAAAGAAAUAAGAAAGAAGCAACAAGAUUUGGAUUUUUAGAUGUGACUCUUAUGUCAUACAUUAUACGACAUAAAUGUUAUUUUAUUUGGAAUUGAGAAUUGUGGGUUUUUUUAUGCAACUCUUGUGUCAUUUGGUUAGCCGGUUUUAUGCAUAUGAAACGUAAGUAUACAUGAAUGUUGGGAUGCUUAACAUUUCUAAAUCAUGUUUUAAUGUGUAUUCACUUUUCUUUUUUAGUUUUGGUGGGUUUGAUAUACUAUGUUUUGUGAACAUUUGAUAUACAAAUAUUAGUGGAUGAUGUAAUGUAUUAUAGGUUAAUCCAUAAGCAUAAAGAAAAUAUAAGUUAAAUGUAAUAUGAUUAUUAUAUUUAUGGACAAAAUUUACACACGUUGAUCUUAUUUAUUAAUAAGCAUUACAAAAAUCUAUAGGCUAGUCAACAAAAAACAACCAUAUCUUCUAUAAUCAUUUACAAUGAAGUGACACCAUAAUUCAAAGGUGAUGCAUUUAACGUGACAUCAUAACUCAAAGGUGAUGCAUUUAAUAUGACACCUUAUAUAUCUCACAUAACUCUAUAUCAAAUUAAGCAUCACUAAAAAUAUAUGGUGUCGCUUCUAAAUGCGUCACAAUUUAUCUGUUUUGGUGUCGCUUCCAAAUACGUCACCAAUUGGUACCCUCUAUGGUAUUGGUGGAUAAGGUGACGCUAUGUUGUAGCGACACCCUAUGUUUAGGGUGACUCGUUAUAAAUGUCACCAUAUAUGUUUUUCCUUGUAGUGUCAUUGGGAAGGUUUUUUCCAUUUUUUAGAGGGGUUUUCUAAAGGCUUCUAGGGUGAGGACACUGUUCUCAUAUUGGCUUUUUUUCCCCCUUUUUAGAGGGGUCUUCUAAAGGCUUCUAAGGUCAACUAGGAGAGCAUGUUGAUUGAUGCUUUGAUAUGGAUACCAGAUGCCACAUUUCAUCUUGUUGAACACUGGUUAGCUAUGGACUUGUUACUGCUUUACUCUUCUGUUUCGAGUUAACUUUGGAAAUGAAUCUGAAUAUAGACUAGUAUUUGCAUCUUGAUGUUUAGAGAAUCAUAUUUUAGUUGUUGUUUAAAAUUCAUUUUGGCAUGUUCGAUUGCUUCAAGCUCAUUUAUACAAUAAUGAAAUGGAGAUUUAUAUAUUUGUUAUUGGGUUGGCUCUCUGUUUGGUUAUCUUUAAGUUCUGCAUCUUUUCUUUUCUCGUUGCCUUAUCUUCUCUGGGGGGUGUCGUUUGAGAAAUACAUAGUGGAAAAAAUGGGAAGCUGAAGGCUUAUCCUGGCAUCGACCUCGCGUUAGGGAACGACUUGAUCGAAGAACAUAUGAAUUUUUCAAAUACCCAGAACUCACAUCAAAAGAAGCAUCGGAGUCAAGGUCAAACACAUCAUCUGACAAGGAAUAUACCUUUGCCUUUGGUGACUUUAUUGACUUCUGCAUGAUGGACAUCCGAGGGUGGGGACUGGAAGAGAAAUGAUGAAUUUGCCCAAGAUAGUUUGUCUAGAAAGGAACUUGUAUUAAAUGAUGAUUACCCACUAUGUCAGAUGUUGAAAUUUGGGUAUGACAACUCCUGGUGGCAUCAGAAAGAUGAGUUGCACAAUCCUUCUCACAGUUGAAAGCUUGACCUCCGAAGUUGGGCUUUUUCAUGGCCAGACAAGAACAGUGAUCACAAUAGUAUGAGCCAAGCCUGUCACGACCCAAAUUCUAGGUGAACUUAACCAUGACUCCAAAUCAAAGGUUUAAACUUAAAGGUUACAUCUAUUCAAUCUAGUAGUCAAUCCUGAUAACUUGAUUUUUUUUUCUUGAUAAAACAAUAUCUAAUCCCAAAUCAAUUUAUUAAGCUAAUAACUUGAUUUUUUUUCUCAAUAAAACAACAUCUAGUCCCAAAUUAAUUUAUUAAGCUAAGAUUUACUAUAUCAUAUUAUUUGAUUUUAUUUUUCAAAAAUCAACCAUUACACUAUCACUUAUUUGCAAGUAUAAUAAAUCUGUCAAACAUCUUAUCACCCAAAAUGAUAACCCAAAUAUUUACAAAAAAAAGUUUUACAAAUUAAUAAAAUAUAGUCUAAGUUAUAAAAGUUCUUAUAAAUUAAAUUAGUAUGUGCUAAAAUAUAAGAUAACUGAAAAAAAAAAAAAAAAAAAAAAAACCAUUAUUAUUAUGGUUCCUUAAAAACUAUAUUUGCAUCUAAAAAUUUUAGAAAAUAAAGGGAUGGACAUUUCCACAUUACUUAGUAAGGUAUUUUACACCCACACAAAUUAGAAAUUCUAAGUCAAUAAAACACAAUCAUAUAUCAAAGUGUAAUUUUACAUCUAAUGUACUACAACUAUAUACAUUUAAACUAAUCAAAAUUAUCACUAACCAUAAUCAGACUCCAAAUAAUACAAAUAACAUUUAUUAUCUCCCAAAAACAUAAUGUGUAAUUUUGUUUCCAAAGAAAAAUAUAAAAUAAAAGUUUUAGGGUUAAACCACCCUACAUCAAAUUUGAAAAUCUAAUUGUUAAAACUAAAAUCAGACUCCGUAAAAAUGUUCUUUAUGUUAAAUAGAGUGUUUUGCUAAAAUCUCAUGCAAAACAGAAUUCAUUUGGCUUGUCGGAUGACAACCCAAAUAUUUGUUGCACCUUCCUUGUUUCUUCUCUUCCUUUGUGUUUCCGUUUGCACUCUUCUCUCUACGGAUCUGGUAAAUAGGGUAGCCCCUGGUACGCUUGGGGCUGGAUUGAAUCCUAUUCGAACUAUAUCUAACUUGAUCUUGUCCAAGCUAGGAAGGUUUUUGGUCUCGAUGACAUUGGAAGUUUCAUCAUUGCUAAAGAAAGGGGCGGCCAAAAAGGCUUAGCGACGACCCUCUCUCGACUUAAAGGAAACGACUUGUCCCAUCCAAUGCCCUACUUUUAAGUGCUCGGUAUGUUCACUUAAUCAAAUCUAGAAGAAGCUUGGCCUCUGUAGAGCAUGAAAAGGCUAGUUUUGAAGCUUUUAAUCGAGGACUUAUUUGCCCUAAAGCCUGACUUCUUAGGAAGAGAAAUGGGCUUGACUUCUUCAUCAACCUCGGAAUCGCAUUCUAUCACACUGGUGGUACUUCUUGUUGAAUUAAAAGAUUGGAUGAGUCUUUUUGUACCCACCCGCCACCCCUGUUUGAGAGUGAUUAAAUAUCAUAACUUCCUUAAUGGACCUACGGACUAGCUAAGGUUUACUUACAUAGUUGUUCUUUCUUUUCUCAAUUUCAAGUUAAAGUUAGCGUUUUUCAGCUUACUGUUUGCUUUGGUUGAGUAGCCGCCUUAUGACCCUUUGCUUUUGAAUGAAAUCAUCUAGAACCUCUCAGAUCGGAUUCCAAUCACCUUAGUGAGUCUCCUAGGUGCGAAGCCAUUCUUUAAGCCCAAAACAAAAGGAGAAGUGAAGUCACUAUCUAGACAAAGGGGCUUGCCUACUUAUAAGGUAGGAGUUCACACCGGGGAAUCGCUUUCUUAAUUAAUUAAAAGCGAGCCAAACUCACCACCUCAUGUACCAAAGUCAAACGGUUGUUCUUCCUUCCCCGCUCCCUUUUUCUCUACAUAUGUGAUGGCGGGCAGAGCGCUCUAUAUGACCGGUGGUGGGUUACCAGAGAAGAUGGGACAACUUCUUUCUCUCUUGCCUUGCUCAAUCUUCCUUUUCUGAUUGAAAGUAGCAAGCCACACCACUACUGGUACAGAGGUCGGAUAGAAGGUUGCUUUUUCUAUAUGUUCAGGCGAAGAACAUCUACGGCACAGUCUUCGCCAAGCAAGAUGAUGUAACUCCUCAAAACAUAAAAAGAGCUCUUAUAUAUGUAAAAACAUGAUAUAUGUGUAAAUGAAUUAUAGCCAUUUUCAAAUAGAUCAGGAUCGUCAGAUGUUUGAAAUGGAAAGUCAAUUUUUCUAUAUGCAUGUAGAUAUCUAUAGGGGAUUAUAUGAAGGGGAUGUUAUUAUUUUAGAUAUAAUCAAUUCCCUUCUCGGAGCCCACUAAGAUCCGGAUCUCCUACGGAAAUGAUUUAGAAGAUCCAAAACCAAAAAUAGUGGUAUUUGCUAGCAACAACAUAAUGGAGGCAGUCAAUCAAUAUAUAUUGAUCUAAAAUCUGAUUCAAAUCCAAUAUAGCACCUAUGGGUACAUAAAAGAAAGGCAAGAGAGAAAAGAAGUCCAUACUUUUCAACAAAGCUUUAAGUGAGUAGGGGUGUAGCAGAUUCAUGCACGUCGAAUAUAAAUGCAGUUGGAUGAGUAGUCGCGGAUUCACAAUGCCGGUUAAAAAGCCAAUCUUAGGGUUGCAUUCACUCCCCUUCUAUAUCUUGCAUCUAUAGUAUUUUUGUCCUGGUGGAUCUCUUUAUCAUUUAAUAAAAGUUUGGAAUCUUGGGUUACUAAUUGGUGGAAUACUAGGCAAUCUAAAACUUUUUUGAAUGAUAUUCAAGAAAACAAUCAAUUUCCCAUCAUUUGCACUAUGAAUGGAAAUGAAAUUCUAGAUCUAGAAUCAGAUGAAUGUGCAACAGUCAAUUUCCUCCCUCACAACCUAAUUGUCCACUAAAAACAACCUUUUUUACUAUACGCUAUUUGGCCGCUAGAAGAACUUCAGUUCUUAUAGGUAAAUGCUCAAUACCCAAGUAGGCCUACAAAGUUGAUCAUGAUCAAGUGCUUUUUGGGUCGUCUUAGACCUUGCAAUAUCUCUCCGGCCCUCUAGCACUCUGUUAUGGCUCAAUCACUUACUCUAGUUCUGGAGUUCUAGGUCCUCUAGCUAUUAGUGCAGGUAGCUCUCCUUCUGGUAAUGCAUUAUAGGUUGUCUUCCUUCCACCUUCCUGUUUUCAAGAAAGCUUAUUUUCUUUCUAAGAAAAAUCAUACAAUCUCGUAUGAGAACGGGAUUGAUGGGAGGCAUAUGCUCCCAGGCUACACAAUGUCUUACAGGGCUUACCCAGUUAGAAGGUAUGUAACUAAAGUCUCAAGAGAAUUGAAAUCGACGAGAAAUCAGAAUCAAUGUUAGAGAUUAGACUUGGCAUGGAAAAAGGAGUAUAGUAAGAUGAUAGAGACCUCGCACGAGAUGCUUACUCGGAUUCAUGCCCAUAAAGAGUAGAAGAUUCAACACAAGUGCAAGAAUAGGUUUCACAGUUAAGAAAGGUUGAGAUUCAGGUGAGUGAGUGAGUCCUCACUGACUUGAGCGAUUUCGAUCACCUAGCAGUUUAUUUGGUAGGUAACAUCGCUAAAGCAUAUCAUCUGAUCUACAAAUGAAGGAAAUCAAAGUGAGACGACACCGUCCUCUGUAACGCAACGAUAGUUGGCCCUUUAUCAUCAACUAUUUGGUAGACUUGGUAAAAGAUGUAAGGCUUUAGCUAGUACACGAAAGUGCAUACCAUGAUUCUUCUGUCUAUCAAUAACUGCAUGCAUUGCACGAUGGAUGUGAAGAAGUAGGCCAUUAUCUCGACAAUAAUGAGCCAAGCUAGUAUUUGCAGUGAAUCCCCCUGUUAAGUAGUCACAUUAAUGGAACAAGAACACAUUAGCGUAUGAAACAGAGCUGAAAGCGCGAGUGCACAAUCUCAAAAACGGCAAAUUCACGUUCUACUUCCUCAAUCUCGAACUCUGUCUAUUGGGAUGAGCUCCCCUUACCUGCGCUAUUCUAUGAACGAACUUCCUUUAUAAACCAUAAAACUGGAACAAUCACUGUUCCAGGGUCUGUCUCAGAGUUCUAUCUCGUGCUUGACAUCAAUUGCAUCCAAACCUUUAAUCGGGUAUACUUUCCACAAUAACAAGCGAGUCAUAGUUAGGUAAAAGUUAUACAGAAAGAUGACAUCGUUGGCGAACUUGAAGCUAGUUAGGUAAAUCCCCUUAUAUUCUUCUUUCUUCUCCCAUAAGACAUUCCUUAUUAUUAUUAUUAUUAUUAUUUUCAUUUUCUCAAUUUCUUUAUCUUUUCAACUUUAAGACACCAUUUUGCACUUCUUCUUUUUUAUUAUAAUUAUUAUUCUUUAUCAACCAUACCAUGUUAAGAAAUUUAUUUAUUUUAAUCCAAAAAUCUACUUAAAUACAAUUUCAUACUUUUCUUAAUAAAUUAUAUAUAUAUAUAUAUAUAUAUAUAUAUAUAUAUAUAUAUAUAUAUAUAUAUAUAUAUAUAUAUAUUAUUUCUUAUUAUAACAAAUUUAAAAUGUCACAUGUAUCAUUUUUUUAAUAAAUCAAAUUAUUAUUCUUUAUUUCAUAUUCUACAAUUAUAAAUUAUACUCAAUAUAUGAUUUAUUGUCUUACGAAAAAUAUACUGCUAUAUUCUUAAUUAAAUUUAUUACAAGUCUACUUUUCAAAAAAAAAUUAAUUUGACUUUAAUUACUUGAAACAUUUUUAUUAUGAAAUUCAUUUAGAACAUGAUUUCAUUAAUUAUAUAUUUAAAAAAAAUCAAUUUUAGAAAAAAAUCUGAAACAUAAAAUAAUUCUUCAACAUCAAGAAGCUGAAAUUCAUAAUAAUAUUUAAUCCUUUAAUUUUACCAAUAUUUAUUUACCAAUAAAAUUUAAGCAAUAUUCUGAAAUUUAAUUCCAUUAGUUAUUUAGUCAUUCAAUUUAUAAAAUCAUAUUCUCAACCUUUGGUAUAACUUUUAUUUAAUUUACUUCAUUUGUCAAAUUUCUCAAUUGAAUCAAAAUUUCAAAAGUUAAAUUCACUAAAUUCAUAUUUAAUUAAUUUAGCCUUUUAUAUUCCCUAAAUUAAUAUAUCAUAAUUUACUCUUAAUGUAAUUUCAAUUCAAUUUUAUUUGAUGUUUUGUAAUUCUAUAAGGUUUAAUUCUAAUUAUAAAAAUUAUUGAUUUCUUAUAAAAUUAAAUUCAAUUUCUUUUUAAUUAUCCAUUAUAACAAUUUGAUAUAAUCUAAAUUUUUAUCAAGUUUUUCUUACUACAAUUCUCUAUAAUUAAAUUAAUGGUCAUAAUAUACUUAAUAUUCAAUUUUAGAGACUAUAAUAUCAAUAAUUAUUUGAUGGUUGAAUUUUUUUCCAAAUUUAAAUUUAAUUUUUGAAAUUCCUACUCUUUGCAUAUGACGUGAUGGAAUUUUUAUACUAUUGACUUUUUAUUAACUUUUUCAAAAAAUUUCUUAAUUAAAUAUUAACACGGGGAUUUUCGUCAUUCUUUUUUAACAUUUGACUAAUGAUUUUAUGAUAACUUUAAUCUGACAUGUCAUUAAAAAUCCGGUUGUUAUAGAGCCAGUCAAAUUAAGCCUGUUAUCCGAGGAGUGAAGCCACUGCCUUGUUCUAUCUCCGAUGGCCUGCUCAGCUCCUUCAACCCCCAUCGCUCUCCUCUUUCCAAGUUCUCCAUUUUCAGUUUAGAGCCAACAAGGAUCGCAGAAAUCCUUAAAGAUUGACCUACAUGGUAUCGUGAGUACCGCGAUGUGGAUGUUCUUAAUGUGUUGUCUACUAGAGCCAAAUGGGUGUUUGAUAAGACCCAGUGAAGGUGUAAAAAUUAUAUGACGAAGCUUGCAGAAAGACUUUGAGUUGAGGGAAGGCAUCUCAACGAAGUUGGGCUUUUGUAUUGUGAAUCUGGCAAAUUACCUAUACUGCAUGGAUCAUCACUCUUUUAACGUGGAGGUACACAGGUCCUUUGCAAUGUGACACUUGGGGCACCACAUCAAGCUGGUGAUGCUCAACGACUGGCUUCUCUGGACGGGUCCUCCAACAAAGCGCUUCAUGCUUCACUGAAAUUUCCCGGAGUUCUCAAUUAAUGAAGUUGGCCAACUCCUUAACCUGCACUGUUCCGCAGCAGUCACAUAAAGAUUUGACAUUGAAAUUGAUCAGGUUUUUCCUCUGCCAAUGGUGGUGGGCGCGCUUUGUAUGUAGAUUCCGAAGGAACUUCCAACUUGAUGGCUGUGAGUGGUAAGGUUGGAGAAGAUACUACUGGGUCUGCCCCAUUAGUUUUCCAUUGUUAAGGUAGUUUGGUGCACAGCUUCCUGGAUCAUCUACACCACGAGCACCUCCAGCCGCCUGUUUUGAUCAGUUUCUGGAUUUCCAUCUCCAAAUUGUGCAAGCAGUGACUGAUAUGGUGUCCAUACAAGCGGCUACUGAAAUGGUUCAAACCCCAAAUGCUGAAGGGAAAGGAGCUUUUGGAAAAUAUCAUGAAGAAGACUCACCCAUCUUACAUGAAAUUAUACACAACUCCAUGGACCAGAACCGGAACCCAGACUUAAAUUUGUCCAAGAGAAGAUCAGUGUAAUACAAGUCAACUGCAGUCAUUCCUGAAAGAAGUGAUGAGAAGAGUAAACCUGGAAAAGCAGUGAGUGAAACAAGUUUUGUGACAUUGAACAAUUUGCAGAUGGGUGUUCCCACAAGCUCCUCUCCCCUCUUCCUACGUGCAUGAAAUUCCUACGUGCAUGGCCACCUUCUUAGGUGUGCAAUUCUGCGCAUAAUUCUCAAGCGUACUAUCACCCUCUUCUUUUUUGAAAAAUUGAUUUUAAAUUUAAAAUUUUGACAAAUUCAUUUCCCUUUUAAAAUCCCUCAGUAAUUCUCUUCAAAUUAAUAAAAUCUAUUUUCAAAAAAAAUUUGCUGCCAUUUUCCUUUUGGCAUAGACCUUUUUCUAUUUUCUUUGAUUUUUAAUCAUUUUCCAAUUUUUUAAUAAAUAUGAAUAAAUUCUAUGUUUUUAAAAAUAAUGGAAUUUUGUCCAAAUUUCUAUUAUCUUUUUCUCCAUGAUCAUUAGAAAGAUGAAAUUCCUAAAAUUAAUUCAUGCAAAUAAAUUGGACAUUGGUAGGCCCAACAUAUGAAUUUUUCUCCUUUGAUUAUUGUUUUUAAUUGCUACACUUGAUUGACUAAUGAUUGAUCUCUGUCUUGCUCUAGCAUACAUGAGAUUAUUUUGUGCUUGUUAUUGUACACUAACCAUGUUUCUCACGAAGCGCUCAACUUAUUCUCAAGUACGUUCUUUCCUUUUCCUAUUCGUUUAGUUAUAACCAAUGUUUUCAAAAUCGGACCGAUCAUUGAAUUGGAAAAGUUACUGGUUCACGGUUCACUGGUCGAAUCGGCGGUCAAAUCACGGUCAAACUAGUGAUGUCAUAAAUAUAUAAUUUAUAAAUUAUUAAAAUUUAAAAUAAUUAUAAAAAUAAAAAUAAUAAUUUAUAUAUUAUUUAAAAAUUAAAAUUUUAUUUAAAAAUUAGAAAAUUAGUUUCAAAUUAGAAAUUAAAAUUAAAAUCAUAAUUUUAAUUUUAAUUUUCAAAUUUUCAAAUUCAUUUUUAAAUAAAAAAAAACUUAUUUUAAAAUCAUGAAUUUAUUUAAAAUUAUAAUAUUUUCAUUAAUUUAAAUUAAAAUCAUAAGUUUUAAACAUCAUGAAAUAAAAAAUAAUAAAUAUAAAAGAAAAUAAAUUAUACUGAAAUGAGGUAAAAAAUAAUUUAAAAAAAUGGAAAAAGAGAGGAGAGGAACAAGCAAAAAAGGGUUCCAACAGGGUUUUGGGGGGUGGGGUUUCCAUUUCUAGCGCCAGGUGGGGGCCCUUCCGGUGGGCCAAAAGGGGAAAAGCUUUUUGGCUUUUCCAGUGCAAGGGGUGCCGAUGGGGUGGGGGGUUCCAAUGGGCAAGAAGAGCUCUUCCAGCGCACGCGGGUAGGAGUGGCGACAAUGGGGAAAAAAAAAAAGUUGAACCGGAUGGUUCCAUCCGAACCGUCCGGUUAGUCGGCCGAACCACCGAUUUAACUAGUCCGACCACUUUCCAGCCCAAUUGACCAAACCAGAUUGAAACCGUGACCAGCCGAUCCAAUCCAAUUUUUAAAGCCAUAAUUAUAGCUCAACCAUAACACAUCAUUGAUCAUUACUUGGUAUUUGUUGACUUUUUGAUCAAUUGUCAUUCUUAUAUUAACUUGAUUAUUAGAGACCUAAUUUUAGGGUAUAAAGGGGUAUUACGAUUUAUCAUCCUACCUUCUCAACAAGUAACCUGACCCUUGAACCCAGACUUGGUUUUUCAUAAACCCGUAUUUUCCUUUCAAGUUUCAUACUUAGAAUUUUUUUUUUUCCAUUUAAAAAUAAAAUAAAGAUACGUGGCCUAAAACCAUUUUCAUCAAUCCAAAGUGAGUCUUGUCUUUUUUUUUUUCAAGUAAGGACACGAUCACAGGUCUACAAUACUAUUUUAAUAUAUAUAAUGAAAUAUAGAUAUUAACGCCAUCUUAAAGAUAUAAUUAAAUUUUUUGUUUAAAAUAAAUUAUAAUAAUUUAAAAAUAAUAUUUUAUUUAAAAUAAAUUUUAGAAUAAGCAAAGUUGAUAUGUGGACAUAGAGAAUCGUGAACCAUUGUAAAUGUAUUGAUUAUAUCUCUUUCUUCCCAUUUCAUUUUUACUUUAGUUUUUAUUAUUCGUAUCUUUUUCUACUAAAAUUUGAAAAAGAAAUUCACAUUCACUUCUUCUUGGGUGUAUAUCAUAGGAUUCAAAAUGUUUUUAAAAAUUAUUAAAUUUGUUAAUUGUGACUAUAUGCUUAUUUAGGAUCCAUUGAUCUUAAUAACUUUCUUCCCGAUAUAGGAAGAAAAUGACUAUUCCAUUAAUGCAGCAUGCAUUGCUGCUUAUUUAUCAAGCAAAUUACAUUAUUAUUUUCACACCAAACCUCCAAAUUCUCCAUGCAUAUACGCAUCCUAUACUGCAUGGCCAACUUCAGAGAGCUAAAACAAGCUCUUAUUGAAUACAUGAUAGAUAAUGUCCCACUGACCCUUUUACUCUGAUACCCUGAAAUGAGAAAUUUGGAGGUUUUCCACAUCAAGCUUCUUGAAAUUACUGCGCCUUCUCGUAACAAAGAACUUUCCCCAGUUGUAUGCUCUAUACUUUGGCUUUUCCCCCUUCGUCAGCUCCUCCAAGGGCUUCACCCAAACAUGGUGCCCGGGACUCAAAACGAACGGAAUCGAGAACCUUUCCCUCUCUGAAUUCACCAUCACCCUGUGCUCCACACUUUCAUAAGUAUCGUUGCUCCAGACCUGGUUUAAUAUCAGUAGAAUUAACCAAAUGAGUGAAAAAUUCCUUGAGCCAAACACUACUGAUAAGCAUGUACUUGUAAUUCAAAGUUCUUGGGUGGUACCUGAACUAUAUCCCCAACAUUGAUGAUAUAAGCAUCUGGGGUGGGCUUAACUCGAACCCAUUCUCCAUCAGUUUUUCGCUUUACUUCCAACCCUCCAACAUCAUCCUGAGCAAGGAAAGUUAAGGCUCCGGAAUCCUUGUGGCGACCAAUGCCCAGAGCUAGGUGAGGAAUGGAGCAAGGUGGGUAGUGAUUGAGGCGGAUGAAGUUUGUUGAUUCUUCAAAGAGAAGAUUGAAUCUGUUCUCUGGCAAACCUAAGCUCAGAGAGAGGAGUCCCAACAGAUUGACAGCUAGUUUUUCCAUUUCUCUAGCAUAUUCUUCACAUACCUCCCUGUAUAAAUCAGCUCAAUUAGAACAAAAAAACUUAAGUAAUUCACUGUAGUGACUGUGCCUUAGCUGGUGGAAUUUGUACCUUAAUUCAGGAGGGUACUGAGGCCACUGAUUGAUCAGCUUUUCGAGCUCCUUGUCGUCAGGAUUAGGCGAAGCAGGGAUGAAGGCGGGGGAUGACGCCACGAUAUCAAAGACUUCCUUCCAGUCCCUAACGUUCUUGGUAUGCUCAGUAUCGAAAUACCCAAAAGGAUUCACCUCAUCUCUACUCACCUUCCUCUUCUCCUCCAAUGGCAGAGCGAAGAACUUCCUCGCCGCAUCCUCAAUUUUACGACGAGACUCGGAGGGCACCCCAUGGUUGAUGACUUGAAAGAAGCCCCAGUUCUUGCACGCAUCAGCUAUUUGAGAAACAUGGUUGGAAGCAUUGGCGGAAGAGAGAUCAAUGAGGGGGAUGCCUUCAGCUUCGAUAACAGCGAGCUUAGGCCUAUGUUGGGUGUCUUGGAUGAAAGCUGGAUCGACCUCUCCCAUGGCUGUGGUAGUGGUUAGAACUUAGAACUUAGAAAUGGCGGUUAUGCACUGCUGGUGUUAGCUGCACGUGAAGAUGGUGAGGGGGACUUGGCCACUUAGCAGGUGGUUUUUGUAGUGUAGUGGGGUUGGUUUAGUACAUUGAACCUGGACAUAAUUGGGGUUACGUUUUAAGUUUUGGUUGGGGGUGUGGGCUCAUGGGUUGCGCAAAUGUCAAUGAUAAUUGGUCAAGUGAUACCAAGUUAUUUCCAAAAUCUGCAGCCGCAAAGGGUAUCUCUCUCGAUGAUUUUGGCAACGUACAGCACUCUCCACAUUCAAAUGUUUGAUCAAAGAUACGUUUUGUUUAGUGUCGUGUAUAUUUUCGAAUUAAUUACUUCAUAUUUAGGGAUACGUUUUGUUGAGUAUCGUGUAUAUUUUCGAAUUAAAAACUUCAUAUUUAGGGAAAAGUGUGCUUCAAUACGCUAAUAUAAAAAUAUCAGCAAAAUAAGAUCCUAAUUUUUCAUAUUUUAAGGUUUAUAAUGCAAUUGGAAAUUAUUUGGAGAAUUAUGCAUUUUCAGCUCAUGUGUAUUUCAAAUCCAAAAUGCUCUCCACCUUGCCAGCCAAGUCUUACACGUUGAAAGUAAAGAGAGAAAAAAUCUUCAAAAAGCCACCAAAACCAAUUUCUCUUUCUUUUUGAGUUAUUUGAUUCAAAAGAUCAAUAAAAUCCAAUUUUUAAAAUUUAACCCUUUGUUCUUUUUUUUUUCAUUUUGAUAAAAAUAUCUUUACCAUUUUCUUGUAGAAAUAACAUUUUUUUUAAACCUAUAUGUAAAUACUUGAAAUGGUAAGAGACGUGUACAUUAAAAAAAAGUUAUUUUUCAAGUAAAAAUAUAGAAAGGAUUAUUUCAUCCCUUUUAACCAAAUAUUUAACAUGAUCAAGGACUAUUCCCUAAAUGAAGGCAUACGGUAGCAAAUACCCUUAAUCUAAACAUUAAAAGUACAACUUAUCUAGUAUCAAACACUCUGUUUUAAAACCCAUAGCCACUCCAAAUAUCCCAAAUAUUCUUUUCUAUGCAACCUCUCUCUCUCUCUUUCUCGCACAAACACACUAAAAUAUUUUCUCAAACUUGGAUUUUUCUCCACAACUCAACCCUAACUUCCUUUCUAUUUGUACCAAGGCUAGAGAAUAUAGUUUAUACUUGUAUUCCUUCAUGUACCAAGCCCACAAGAUGAUCAAUAAGUUUCUCUCUAGAUUUUACAUUGGAGUUGAUUGAUGAUAGUACCCUUAUUAGGUAGUAUAUUAUCUUCCUUAGGUACUGCUUUUUCCAUCCUUAGAUACUACCUUUGUAACCUUGGGUGCAUGAUUGAAUCCAUUGUUUCAUGGCUACUUCAAGUAAGUCAGGAACUUAUGUACAUGUGUGCUACAUGUCUUAUAGAUACUAAAUUUACAUUCUUUAGGUACUACCUUUACCUUCCAUGGGUACAAAUACGGUUAAUGAUAAGAAUUUUAAUAUAAAAAAGGGAAAAACCCUGCUUGAUAAUAAAAUUGCAUAUAUUUUCUUUCUUUCUUUCCUUUUUGAUUGAUUUUUUUUUUUUUUGGUCUUUGCUUUGGUUUUUAUUUAUGUCUUUGUUUCUUUUAGUCUUUGUGUGUGUGUGUUUUAUUUUAUCUUAUUUUCAUCUCUAUGCAGAAGAUGUAGAAGAAACAACAUCACAUCAUAAGGUGCAUUUUUCCGUUCAUUUAAGACUAAAGGUUUUGGAUUCACAAAAUGGUGGGAACUAAGGGUGAGAAGCUGGAAAAAUGUUGGAUUGAGCUACAUUUGAUCAAUGGUGAAUUUGCAAAAAAGAUUGUAGGAGAGUGUAGACCCUCAAUUUUGUCCCUUUAGCACAUGUUUUAAAGUCCAUUACCAAUACUUUACAGUAAUCUCUUGGUAGCCCAUAGCUACUCACGCUACUUACCUUUCUUGAGCCACCUCGGAGACUCUAGUUGAGGGAUUGCCUAACCCCUUAUUGUGACCCUUGGCAGUUUUGAUUUAGACUUAAGGUUUUCAUUCCUUCUUAGGAUAGCUCUUAGGUGCACUUUUAGGUCCACUUAGGCAUCACCCUUGGCUAAUUUAGACAUUUUGGGCCCGUUUAGACACCUUAAACUCGCCUAGAUUCACCUUAGACCCGCUUAAGCACUUCAUUGGGGCUCAACAUUUUUAUAUAAUCUCUUGAUCAUUAUUGCAUGCAUUUGAUGAUUAUAUUUUCUUUGUUUAUUCAUUUAUUUGUUUGUUUAUUUAUUCAUCCAUUUAUUUAUUCAUUUUUUAAUUUCUAUUACGUCUUGUUUUUUUUUUUCUUUCUUUCUUUCAUUUAUUUACCUACUUAAUAGAGAAUUGUUUAGAUAUUAAAUAUGCAUACAACCCCCUUAUUGAAUGAUGGAAUUGUACAAUCUGAUAUCUCAUUUUCUCUUUCAUUUUCUUUUAAUCGUAUUUCACUUUAUUACCAAUUUCAUGACUUUCAUUAGUUGCUUCUCUUUUCCUUUGAUUUUUUAAUCUUAUCUUAUUUUGUUUUGCAUAAGGAGCACCAUCUUGGGGAGUACAAGAGGAUCUACAUUACUGGUUUGAUCAACAUAUGUUUGAGACUAAAAGCCUUCAAGAUGGCAAAAGAUGGUCAUCACAGCCCCAUGCUUCUUCUUCCCAUCUCUCAUAAUUGAAGCCUCUGUACAAAACUUCAUCAUAUCCUGAACAAUAGCAGCCACAGCAGUUGCAGCCACAGCAGCUGCAGCCACAGCAACUGCAGCCACAACAGCUGCAGCCACAGCAGCUGCAGCGACAGCGGCAACCACAGUUAAUGCUGCAACAGCAGCCACAGCAGCAUAGACUGCAUCAUCCAGUUCAACCUUCAUUUGGUCAUUUAUCAGGGUUGCAGCCCCAACUAUUUAAUCCCCAUCUUUCCCCAGCUCCACUCAUCAUGAACAAAUAUGAAGCAAUGCUUGGGAUAGGUAAUCUGAGGGAUCAAAGACCCAAGUCAAUGCAAAAAGGUAGACCAAAUCAUCGGGUUUCUCAACAGGGCUUGGAUACUAGCAGUCGGAAGAGUGAUGUUGGUGGCCACAGUUCAGAUCCAAGUAUAUGACAGCUGAUGAAAUCGAAAGUAUCCUUAGAAUGCAACGUUGCGGAACAGAUGGAUGAGUAGAAAGGAAAAUAGCAUGAAAAUAGAAAGGAAGUGACCACUUUGUGCACAACACGCAUAUAGUGGGCUGUAAGGGGGAUUCUUUUUUGUUUAGAAAGAAAAGUCAACUUGUAUCACUUACUAAACGAGAUGUGGCUGCAUCCUUGAGGGAAUCUCCCAAUGAGCCACCAUGUAUGCACUUUCCUUAUCCAUGUGCAUUGAAAAAGGAUAUAGAAUAUUCAAUAGAGGAAAGGUGCUGCCAUAUAGAAGGAAGGUGCUGCCAUAUAAACAUGUCACAGAGAGAACACACGGUGGACUUUUCUUUUGGGAGCAGAAAUUCACAUACAAAAAGUAAUCUUUUUUAGAGGAGAUGAACACACGCAAGAGUUUUUUUUUGGGAGCGGUAGAGGACCUGAACGACUAAUUGGGCUGCCAUUUUGACACAUCAAGAAAGUAUUUUUCCAAUACAAUACAGGUUAGUUUUCGAUUUUUGAUACCGUAUUUCCUUUUUUUUUUAGUUUGGGUUUUAGUUGUUUGGUUUAAUUAAUUGUUUGUGAUAAAUUCUUUUAAAUCUCGAUUUCGAACAAUCUUUUAUUUUUCUUAUAUUAAAUGUCUAUCUUUUAUGAUUGCAAUUCAUUAGUUCUAUGCUAGUUUAUUUUUAAUUUACAUGAAAGUUUAAAUAAAGUUUAUAUUUUUAAUUCCAAUUAGUUUAUUUUUAAAUUUGAAUGAGUUAUCGAUCUUAAUUAUUUAGUUUAAUUGACCUUGUGAGAUAAAAUUUAUAUUUUUAAUUCUAAUUAGUUUAAUUUUAGUUUAUUUUUAAUUUGAAUGAGUUAUCGAUCUUAAUUCUUUAGUUUAAUCGACCUUGUGAGAUAAAAUUUAUAUUUUUAAUUCCAAUUAGUUUAAUUUUAGUUUAUUUUUAAUUUGAAUGAGUUAUCGAUUUUAAUUCUUUGGUUUAAUUGUCCUUGUGAGAUAAAAUUUAUAUUUUUAAUUCCAAUUAGUUUAAUUUUAGUUUAUUUUUAAUUUGAAUGAGUUAUUGAUCUUAAAUCUAUUAGUUUAAUUGGACUUGUAAGGUAAAGUUUAUAUUUUUAAUUCCGAUUAGUUUAAUUUUAGUUUAUUUUUAAUUUGAAUGAGUUAUUGAUCUUAAAUCUAUUAGUUUAAUUGGACUUGUAAGGUAAAAUUUAUAUUUUUAAUUCUAAUUAGUUUAAUUUUAGUUUAUUUUUAAUUCGAAUGAGUCAUUGAUCUUAAUCUAUUAGUUUAAUUGGUCUUGUAAGGUAAAGUUUAUAUUUUUAAUUCCGAUUAGUUUAAAUUCUAGUUUAUUUUUAAUUUGAAUGUGUUAUCGAUCUUAAUUCUUUAGUUUAAUCGAUCUUGUGAGGUAAAGUUUACAUUUUUAAUUCCAAUUAGUCUAAUUCUAGUUAUUCAUGUGUUUCUUGAAAUCUAAAUGUUAGUUUUUGAAUGAUAAUUUUGUUAGUUUGUUUGAUUAGGAAGUCAUAAAUUUGUUGUCUUAGUGAUUGUUGGUCAAUUUUUUUUUAGGACCACUGGAAACCCAUGAAGGUUGGCCUUUACUCUCACCACUUUAAUUGAUAAGAUUUUCUAAAAUCUUUAUUUCGUGAUCUUUGUUUCCUUUUGUUUUGAUUGAUAUUUUGUUUUCUAUUUUUGUUAUUUUAAAAAUUAAUUUCUUUUAUUUUAAAACAAAACUCUUUUUCUCAAAAAAACCCUUUUUAAAAUUUUUUUUUUAUUAUUCAUUUAAAGCCUCUAGAAUCAAAAUCUAUUUUCUUUUUUAAAAAAUAACAUGCAACCAUAUCUUAAUCAGUUUGCAUCCUUCUCAAUUUUCAACAAAAAUAUCCUUCUCAAUUUUCAACAAAAAUUUUGGUUUUAAACAAAACGCGAAUCAAAGCUUGUGGUCCCAAAUAAAUGGAACAAUUUUAGGCUAAAUUCAUGUAUAUUAAUUUGGGGAAUUGGUGAAACCCCUACAUAAGAAAAUCUUUUCAAAAUUUACUUUUGCUACCACCCUACUAUUUAUCAUAAUCAUAUUUACUUUUUUUCUUUUUAGGAAUUGUAUACAAGAUAUGUAUGAUAAUUAAUUAUUCCGAGUUCUGAUAAUUUUUGCUAAUUAAUUAGAUAAGCAUGCUAGGAUUUAUUAUUUAUUAUCUAUUAUCUAUUAUCUAACCCUCAUGUUCUGAGGAAGUGCAUUAGGAGUUAUAUAUGCUAUCCAGGUACGUUCCCAAAAUCUCAUGAAUAUGCAUGUCAUUACCCUUGUUUGAUGCCAUACUUGAUUGCCUCGAUGCUUGUUUGAUCAUCCUUGAUAAAAUGCAUGUCGUGUGUCAUAUUUCUGAAUUAACCAUUGAUGUUUAAUGAUAGUGCUUAAGAAGUGGUUCAGGUACGCACCCUAACUCUCCUUUAUUGUGAUUGAUCUCCUUAUUUAGCAUGCUACUUUCUGAAAAUCACCUAGCUUACUUAAGUAUCCAUAAUUAAUCAAUUAAUUGCCUCAUUUCCCCAAUUUAGUCAGUAAAGACCUCUUUAGGGCUUAGAAGGGUGCUACCUCCUAGAGGUACCUUCCCAAUAAGUAACCUGAUCCCCGGACCUAGACUCGGGUUUUUCAAAGACAUGUUUUUUUCAAAAAUUAUGGAGUCACAUUUUAGGGUUUUUCUUUCUUGUUUUAUUUUCCCUUUAAAAUAAAAAUAAAAUAAGUGGCGGCUCCAACUUUUCCAAAACUAAAUAAUUUUUCACAAAUAAAAAAAGAGUCUCGCCAAUCGAGUGGGGACGCAUGUGAAAAAUGCAGGUCCACAGAGAGGUUUCUUGAGGUGGACAAGGUCAGAAGCAAAGAGCCUUUCCCUACUUUUUGGGGUUGGUUCCUUGAGUUCUUAGGAAGAACUUAGUUAACGUGUGAAUUCAUUCAGGGUAAUUUAUGUAAGAUUUUCUAGAUUUUGCAAGUGAAUGCACCUUAGCUUUUCCUAUUGUAUUUGUGUUUUUUUAGGUUGAUUAUUUUAUUGAUUGUCACCACUCAAGGAAUGGAAGCAAUAGGGUCUCUAGAUGUAGUGCCUAAAGGCAAGCAUACAGGCGUUGUUAGGAGUGUGCUUCCCAUGUCCAACAAGCAUAUUGACACCACCCAAAGCCAAGGCAUCUUUGGACUAGGAGUUCUAGCUUCUACUUAUGUGGACUUUGUAGAUGCAGUCUGGCUCUUCGAAAUAUUUAUUGUUAUGUAGUAGUUAUACACAUGUACUUUGUUUAAGUGAAUUGAUUUUUGGAUUUUUACUUAAAUCAAAUUUAAGGGUAUGUUGUUUAAUUUACUAGAGAUCUCUUGUUUGUAAUUCUCGUUAUCAUAUAUAGAUCUUUGUUAGUAUUUGCCAAUUUCCUCAAUAGCAACUGUAUUAGUUAUCAAUGGAAUGAAUCUUGAGUAACUUGUAGUAUCAUUUUUGGUUUUGAAUUGGCUAAUCUUUUUUGGAAGAAUGAAUUAGAUAUAUGAGCUUGAUUGCAAGCAAUAGUUGAGUUUGUUUUGAUCUUGGGGUAUUUGCCUUAUUGAUAGGACAUAGAUUUUGGGUCCAAAUAGUUGGAAAUUGAUGAGCUUAACCAGGACAUAGAUUUUAUCCCCUUGGGAGAACCACAACACUAACCAGUGUUCCUACAAAAGCUAAUAACCAUGAUUUAGAAAUGUGAUUUCCCUAAAGGGAAGCAUUUCUAAUCUUAUUUGAAGGGAAACUUUGAUGUCUUCCUUAAUACACUAGAAUAUUAAUUUAAAAACAACAAUUAAGGUUAUAUUAACUAUUAUAAUAAUUUAUAAAUUACAUAAAUAUGAUAAUAACUAUUAAAAUAAAAGUAUUAAACAUAAAAAUGUUUAAUUCUGUUGGGUAAAAACUUCAUAAAUAUUUUAUUAUUGAACUUCUAUCAUAUGAUCAAACAUAGUGAUGAUCCUUAGUUGGAUUAAUUAACACUUGUUUCAUAAAUUGAACAACAUAUAACAUGAUCAAUAAACAAACAAGUAAACAUCAUACUAGAUAAAACUAUCUCUUAAGAUUUCAAUUAUUACAUGUUUAAAUUACAAAUCAUAUUUUUGCAACUUUCGUAAAGUUAUGCAAUAGAUAUAAUUAAAAUUAUGAAACAUUGAAAAUGUAUAUUGAUUCAUUAUUCAAAUUCAUCAUAUCAUAUAUAUACUUUAGUUGUCCAUAAGAUCAAAUAAUAACCAAAAUUCGAAAAAUAUGUUUUAUGAUCCAAAAUUGAUUGACACUAAUAUCAAUUGUUACAUAAACUUUAUGUGAAAUAAUUAUUUUGGAAAAUCAAUUUGGAUGCAUAAAGCAUAAUAGUUAUAAGAAAUAAAGAAAUGACAAAAUAAUAAUUAUAUUUUUGUCUUAAUCCAUGAUACCGAUAACACUUUUAAAGUGAGUUCGAGUCACUUUGUGAAUUGUUGGGUCAAGGUAUUCAACUCAUCAUUCUCAUUUAGUAGAUGAGACAAUUGUGUGGUAUAUGUUGUUAUAAGCAAAACAACUAAAAACAUAAGAAUACAAUACAACUUAGGACCUUAACUUUAAAAAAAGAUUUAUAACUCUUAAUCUUCUCAUAAAAGAUUAUAUGAGAGUUAUACUCAUUAUUUUUAAACAUUAUAUAUAAAUUAAUGGACAAUAGUAAACUACCAACUUGAAUACAUUCAUGUAAUUAUAUAAAUUACACUUUUUCAUCUUCCUCUAUUAGUCAUAAACUUUAUAUAUAAAUUAAAUCUCAUAAUGAUGGAGUUACAAAAGUUGUAAUACCAUAUUCGUAUAAAUGAAAAUUUUCUAACUCCAUAUUUAUAAUUUUAAUUUUCUAUGUUAGAAGUUGAAUUUGUUCCACAUCGCCAAGUUACCGGGUUAUUAUGUUGUUUAUAUAUGUGGAUUGGGCACCCUCUCCCUUUAAGCAAGCUUUUAGGGAUGAAUUAUAUUCAAACCCAUUUAACAUGGUAUCAGAGCUUGGUUUGACUGGGGGUCGUGGGUUCAAGCCACCUCUUCGCAAUUCGUAUGUUUGUUCCUCAUUUGCAUGUUUGAAAGUCUAGAAAAGGGUAUUUGCAUUUGUUUGUUUGUCCCUUCACGUGUGGAUAUGGGGCCACACAUAAGAUAUGGUGUUAAAAAGCAUGAAAUGUAUAUUGAACCCAAAUCUUAUAAGUUUAAGCUUUUAGGAAAAUUAGUAAUUCAACAUUCUAUACAUAAAAUUAUUUGAUGUCCAAUCAAUUGAUUCACCUACCUAUCAAUUAAUAUACUUUUAAAUAAAAUAUAUUUCAAUCCAUUACACAAAUAUAAUUAAAACAAAGUACUAUAAUAAUAUGAGUAUGUGACAAAUAAAUAAAAUAAAAAUAAUCACAUGUUACAUGUAAACUAUAUUCAAAGGAAAAACCACAAGUCAUCCCCACUAUUAAACAAUCCAUUGUAUAAUGAUCAAUUACAAAGACCAAGUAUUACCAAACUUAAAAGUAUCUAAAUCAUACUCACUUUGCACAUUUUCUUUAUACUUGGAUCCUUUAAACUCAUUUAUCCCAAUGUGGAAGCAUCUUGAGUUCUAAUCAAGGAAAUCAACCUUUACUUCAUCAAGUUAAAGUCUCUUUAUAUCAUUGACAACCAUAUCAAGAUUUCUUUUGUUGGUUGCUUUCAAAGUCCCACUAGAAUUAGAUUGAAAUUUUUAUAAUCUCUAGAACUUUAACAUAUUAAUUCUUCAAUGAGUCAAUCAAAUAUUAAGUUUUAUCUCCAUAGAUGGACCUCAAUGAAUUUUUCGACAAAGGUGUUAACACUAAUUUCAUAUUAGUAAAAAAAAAUCAUGUGACACAUAUUGAUAUAUAUAUAUAUAUACUAAUUUCAUAUUCAUAGAUUGAAUUCAUGAGAAAAUUAUUCUUAAUUUUGUAAAAAUUAUAUAUAUAAGAAAGUUUUUAGGCUUACUAAAACACAUUACUAACCAAGUGGCAAUAUAUUUAUAAUUUAGGUCUCAUUAUUUUGUAAUCAAGUUUCAUUCAUUUGUAUCAUAUAUGAGUCCUAUUAUGUCAUACCUUACUCUUAUUACAUUGUACUUUGAUCUUAUUUGUUUAAACAUCGAUUUCAUUUCUUUAUAUGUACAUCACAUUUAUUUAUAUCUCAAUCUUAAUUAUUUGUAUCUUUAUUUAACAGUUUAGAUUUCAUUACAUAUUUUUAAAAUUUUAAUUUGAAAUUCGAUAUCUUAGUAUUUUUCUAAAAUAGCUACCUAUAAUCCUUGUAGAGUACUCAAAAUUCACUCCAACCCAUAAAAAAAAAUGACCUCUCUUCGUAAGUUGCUAUACUCAUUGCUAAACUAUAAUUCCAAAAUUAGCAGAACUUUUCAUACUUAUUCUAGGCAAUUAGAGUUGAGAUGUUCCGGGCAUAUACCAUAUUCUUUCAAGAUUUGAAAGAAAUGUUACGAUUUCAGCAUUAAAUAAUGCAUGUCGAUUAACAAUAUUGCUCAGAUUCUUUAGGCAAAGGUCCACAGACAAAAAAAUUAUUUAUUUAUUUUCUGAACCACCCCUGAAAUUGACACCUCCCAUACAGUCUGAUCUGCAUUUCUGUGGCACUAUUUCCCUUAUUCCUAACCAUAAAUCUGCUGCCAUCUCAAUAAUUCACAUCCUUAUCCACUCCUUAUCUAGGGUUGUAACACUUUUUUCAAAAAGAUUUUUUUUUUUUUUUUUCGAAGGGGUGGAUAAGGGUCCUGAGACAAGCUGUGGUAUAAUUAUAAACCCACUUGGGUAAUGGUUUCAUUGUCAGGGUAAUUCUAUUUAAGGUGAAAAUCAGCUGGGUCUAUCAUUCUUGUUUCCAUGUGACUGUUUCCAAGGAGAACUCAACCCUCAAAUCCAUCGAGCAGUCAUAUAAAAAUACACGCAGAUUUCAUAUCUUGAAGCUUGUCCUGUGUUCAGAUCGGAUAACUCACUCAUAUGCCUAAUCACUAAUCGCCAACUUGAGUGUAAAAAAAGCGUGGGGCGAUAUUAUUUGUAUAUGGGUUUGACUGUUUGAGAGAGAAAGGUGGGGUGUCCCUUGGAGGAGUCCAAAGGCCAUUUUUGAACCUGCCUUUGAUUAUCGCCAUGGCAAAUCAACAGCUUGUAGUAUAUAUAUAUUAAUGGAGACCAAGACUCAAAUAGAGAGAGAGACGCGGGGAUGCGAUAAAGAGAACAGUAUAGCCAAGAGUAUAUAAGCAUUUCUCUUGCUGUAAUGGUGAUUCAGAGACUGGAAAUGUGUAUAUCACUGCUGAAAAUGGCAGUAGAGUUUGUGCUUGUUUUCGCGGAGGCAGUCGGGCUAGUCAUCAACCACAAUGCCACGCCGCUUUUGGCAAACUCAGCCUCAGUUGGCAAUGAUGUUUCUGUCCCUUUUAUCGGUUUUCUUCUUUGAAUUCUUCGUCUUGUAGUUUCCUUCCUUACCAGAAUGCUCAUUGGCCAUUGUAUAUGUUGAGGGUUCUUUUUUGCCUUGAUAGAUUUUCUAAAGGAUGUGCAUGUUUGAUAGGAGAGAGUAUAUAUACACAUCUAUGUAAACUUUGAUUAAAUUUUGUUCUGGGUGAGCUUCAUUUUCUGCAAAUUCAUUUGCUGAUAGCUUUGGAAACGAAUCUUCAGUUGUUUGGGUGCUGAUUAUUUGCUUGCUUCACACGAUUUUAUGUGCUGUUCCUUUGGUAAUAAUCUUGUUGGGUGGAUCAAGGAGAAGAGCGAAGAUCUGAGGGAAAAUAGAGUCUGGAGAAAGAAAAGAUGUAAUGAUGAUUAAGAAAGGCUUUAAUAUACUUGCAAGAUCAGGAAAAAAUAUUUCUUGGGUAUCAAUUAUUUUCUUGCUUGAUAUGGGUUUGAUACUCUUUUUCAAUUGGUGAUCAUUCUGGGAAGAUCAAGAAGAAGAAAAUGGGGUCUAGAUGAAGAAAAGCUAUAAUGGCGAUUAUUAAGUGGAAUCAGAUGAAAUAAAAGUCUGUUUCCAUCAUUCUUAAUAUGGUUUCUUUUGUCAAAAAUGGAAGAUGACUUGAUUUUCAUAGUCCCAGCAGGACUUUAGUACUCAUCAAACUCAUAAAUUUUGAACAACUUUGAGCUAACCUUCUGCAUUAAUUUGGUGCAUCUGCGCAGUUGCAGAGUAUGAACACCCACAAAAUCUUAAUAUGAAUCUUUUGGGGCAAUAGCUUCUAUAUAUGAUGGAUGAUAAGAACAAAGCAAAUCUUGGGUUCUCCAUGGGCACGAUCAUUUAUCCGCCAUAUAAAAUGCAGAUUUUCCUAACACCAACCCCUUAUUUUAAUAAAGUCAAGUUAUUUUAAGGCCCCCAAUAUUAGACAUGCCUUAGAAUCAUUGGGUCUGUGAUUAAAAAUGUAGUAAUAUCAUUUAAAAUACCUAACACUGAAAUUUUGAUAAUUUUGAAUGCCAUAGUGUGGAUUUGAAGAAAGAAAUCGCAUCCAAGAUCUCUUCCUUUUCCUGGGAAACAUUAGUCUUGGUCAAUUAUGAACUGUUACACGUUGCCUAUCAUGGUCAUAUUUAUAUUAGCUUUGAUUUCUAUGGGGGAUAUAAUUUAUUUGUAUGCUAAUCAUAGAGGUGAUACAUGUGAUCCACAUGUCAUAUUUGGACUUGGAAGCAAUCAUUGGAUUCCUUUGAUGAACUGGCAAUGGAAGAAUACUAAUUGCUCCGGUCCCUUUCUUUUUUCAAAGUAGGAUGAUCAGGUCCUUUGAUCCCUUCGACUCCCUCUGGCUGUUUUUCUUUGUUCUUUUUUCAAUCAUCCAUAGCUUAAAAUUAAAGCCUUGAUGCCCUCCUCGACUUUCCCAAGAUAAAACACCUUAUCUUCACUUUAUUUCUCUUCCCUUUAAAUUUGAUUUUAGAUCUGAAAUCCAGGGCUUAUGACCCUGUAGAAGAAAGACAGAUAUGAAGCUUGGGAUGAUUUGAACUUCAGUUUGAUUUUCUGCACACUCUGUUAAAACUCCUGAAAUAUAGUUGUAUAUUGCAAUACAUUUAAUUGUUUGAUACAUCUGAACUAUGAUGUUCUAUUAGUAAAAAUUUCUUUGAAUCAAUCCACGGCUCAAAGUACCAAUUUCUAUUGAAACUUUUUUUCUUUUCCUGCUCAUUCAAUUGUUUCAUUUUCCACAUAAUGGUAUGACAACAUCAAGAAUACUUCUCAGCAAUUGCCUGCAGGUGAACCCAAAGCUCUUUUGGCUUAGAGAUCAUGACCAUGUGAUCAGAUCCUUUAAUCUCUUUAACAGCAUCAGGUGGGUUUUUUUCAAUCAUCCAGAGUUGAAAAUCCCUUUUCCCCAGCUUGUCUUCCUCUGAAAUAAUAAAGACACGUUUAACCGAGGCAUAUUUCUUCGACAACAUGAGCUCAUUUGACAUGUCUUCUUCAAUGAACAAGCGUACGGGUCUCAUCAACACAGUCCCUAGUGCCAAGUCCUGGAAUAUUUGUGCCCGAAAUGAUAUGACAACAACAAUGAAGGUCUCAUGAUUUUGGUUGUAAGGCCUUAAUAAAUGGAGUUCUCACCUCAGUUGGGCUCAACUGAUACACAUUCAGUGAUAAGAACAAGGGGCCAAAGCUGAAAGUGGUGGGAGGAUUGUUGGGGCCAUUAUCAUAUGUGAACUGGCUGUCUAGUAGAGGACCUUGUCUCCUGAGUGACUUCAAUAAGAAGUAGAAACCAGGCUAAAAGUCAGAAACAGGGGAAGCCUUCCCCUCUUAAUCAGCAAGUAAAUUUCUGUAAAAGAAAAAUAGUAUGUAUGAAGUACCUCUUGAUUGAGAGUGGAAAUGUUGAGAGUGGGACCAGGCAUUGAGGCAGUAACAAAAACAGCUACAGAAACCUUUUCUGGGAACUUCUCCAUGGCCUGAGAAAUGGCCAAUCCACCCAAGCUGUGUCCAACGAGAACCACCCUCUCAUCUGCAGGGAGUGACUCCACGAAGUCCCUCAGUGGCUGGAAAUACCAAGAAAUUGAUCGCAGAUCACCCACUUGUUUUGGGUUAAUUCCAGAAGCAGCCAAGUCCAGAGCAGUAACUUUGUGGCCAGAUGAUUUUAGUAGUGCCACAAUCUUGUACCAAGACCAGGCACCAUGGCAAGACCCAUGAACUAGAACAAAGUGCUUGACGGGAUUAGCCUGUCUCCCCUCUGAUGCCAUUGGAUACACUGAAGAAACAAGAAAAAUCAGAAAGGAAACAAAAAUCAUAUGCUUCUUCCUUGCUUCCAUACUCCUUUCCUGUUACAGAGAUGGUCAGCACCCCAGCAUUUUAAAGGGCACAAUUGGGUAGGUUUUCACUACAACUACUAAUCUAAUUGAUUAAAAAUUUUCCCGUGAAAUUGACUCUAGAAAUAAAAUAAGGACUAAGGAUUCAAGAACACGUACACUUUGACUGCCAGAGUUUAUGUCUUUUCAUAGAUGACACAUGCACCUGCGUCACACUCUUUUUCAAUGAUAAAGAAGUUAUGCAAAGGAAGAAAGAAUGAAAUAUACAGAGUCAAGUAGUUAACUCCUCCCCUUGAAUUCUUCUCUUGCCCGGAUUGGUUUGUAACUGCAAACAUUUUCUUUUCCCAAUGUGAUCUGUGGAUUGAGUUCUGAUCUCAAUUUGUUUUUGGCAUUUUUGGUUUUGCUUCUGCAAAUCUUGAGAUGUAUCUUUCAAUUAAUAUAAGUUGUGCAGUUAAGGUUUUUGGACAUAUAAAAUGUUAGCCAAACCUUUCCCGUGGCAGGUUGAAGGUACUUUGGGGUAGGCUUGGUCAUGCUUGAUACCUCAGUCUGACUCAAACAUGAUGUUUUCACCCAUUUGAAUUGAUCAAAGUUGUGUUGACUGGCAUGAUUCCUUUAAUAAAGAAGUUGUUUUAGGAUUAAGGCGUACAACACAAAUUUGACUUAAGUAGAUCUAUUUAAUUAUUGUGUAUUAACAUAAUUAUAAUCAAUUGAGUCGAAAAUGAAUUAAAUUAAAAAGUUAAUUUUAUUGAUUUAAAUAAGACCUAAUUCAACCUGAUUAUUAAAUUACUCAACUUAUUAUAUGAUUUGAACACUGCCCACCAACAUUAAUUGUAACCCGUGCUUUGAGUUCAGGUGGCAGCAAGAGUUUGGCCUUUGUUUUGAGUGUUGGAUGAAUGUUGGAUUAACCUUUCCCAUGGCUGUCAAAUUCCUCAUAAAUUAUUGGUGAUUGUAAUAAUUUCCUCAAAAAGUAAUGGUGCUAUAUGCUUCUUUAGGAUCCAUUGAUCUUAAUAAUUCUCUUCCUGGUAUAGGAAGAAAGUGACUAUUCCAUUACUGCAGCUUUCAUUGCUGCUUAUUUAUCAAGCAAAUUACAUUAUUAUUUUCACACCAAAUCUCCAAAUUCACCAUGUACUUAUCCUAUAUACUGCAUGGUGAACUUCAGAGAGCUAAAACAAGCUCUUAUUGAAUACAUGAUAGAUGAUGUCCCACUGACCCUUUUACUCUGAUACCUUGAAAUGAGAAAUUUGGAGGUUUUCCACAUCAAGCUUCUUGAAAUUACUGCGCCUUCUCGCAGCAAAGAACUUUCCCCAGUUGUAUGCUCUGUACUUUGGCUUUUCUCCCUUCGUCAGCUCCUCCAAGGGCUUCACCCAAACAUGGUGCCCGGGACUGAAAAAGACCGGAAUUGAGAACCUUUCCCUCUCUGAAUUCACCGUCACCCUGUGCUCGACACUUUCAUAAGUAUCGUUGCUCCAGACCUGGUUUAAUAUCAGUAUAAUUAGCCAAAAGGGUGCAAAAUUUCUUGAUCCCAACAGUACUGAUAAGCAUGUACUUAUAAUUCAAAGUUCUUGGGUGGUACCUGAAUUAUAUCCCCAACAUUGAUGAUAAAAGCAUCUGGGGUGGGCUUAACUCGAACCCAUUCUCCAUUGGUUUUUCGCUUUACUUCCAACCCUCCAACAUCAUCCUGGGCAAGGAUGGUUAAGGCUCUGGAAUCCUUGUGGCGACCAACGCCCAAAGCUAGGUGAGGGAUGGGGCAAGGUGGGUAGUGAUUGAGGCGGAUGAAGUUUGUUGAUUCUUCAAAGAGAAUAUUGAAUCUGUUUUCUGGCAAACCUAAGCUUAGUGAGAUGAGUCCUAACAGCUUGAAAGCUAGUUUUCCCAUUUCUCUAGCAUAUUCUUCACAUACCUCCCUGUAUUAAUCAGUUCAAUUAGAACAAAAAAAAAAAAGUAAUUCACUGUAGUGACUGUGCCUUAACUGGUGAAACUUGUACCUUAAUUCAGGAGGGUACUGAGGCCACUGAUUGGUCAGCUCUUUGAGCUCCUUGUCGUCAGGAUCAGGCGAAGCAGGGAUGAAGGCGGGGGUAGGCACCACGAAAUCAAAGACUUCCUUCCAGUCCCUAACGUUCUUGGUAUGCUCAGUAUCAAAGUACCCCAAAGGAUUCACCUCAUCUCUACUCACCUUCCUCUUCUCCUCCAGUGGGAGAGCGAAGAACUUCCUCGCGGCAUCCUCAAUUUUACGACGAGACUCCGAGGGCACCCCAUGGUUGAUGACUUGAAAGAAGCCCCAGUUCUUGCAUGCAUCAGCUAUUUGAGAAACAUGGUUGGAAGCAUUGGCGGAAGAGAGAUCAAUGAGGGGGAUGCCUUCAGCUUCGAUAACAGCGAGCUCAGGCCUGUGUUGGGUGUCUUGGAUGAAGGCUGGAUCGACCUCUCCCAUGGCUGUGGUAGUGGUUAGAACUUAGAACUCAGAAAUGGUGGUUAUGCACUGCUAGUGUUAGCUGCAGGUGAAGAUGGUGACGGGGAUUUGGCCACUUGGCAGGUGGUUUAGUACAUUGAACCUGGACAUAAAUUGGGUUACGUUUUAAGUUUUGGUUGGGGGUGUGAGCUCACGGGUUGCGCAUAUGUUAAUGAUAAUUGUUCAAGUGAUUUUACCGACAUAAAACAAAAUCUGCCGCCCCAAAGGAAUCUCUCUCAAUGAUUUUACCGACAGCACUCUCCACAUUCAAAUGUUUCAUCCGUAUUUGAAUUGGAGUCUAAUACUCUCAUUGUUUAAUUAACUCCAGCUUGAUUAAUGAAUCCAGUGGUGUCGUGUAUAUUUUCGAAUUCUCUGCUUUAUAUUUAAACCUUCUUGGUUUUUAUGUUCUCAUCCAAUGGUUUAAAACCCAAAAACGAUGCAAAGAGAAAAAGAGAAAAAAAAAAAUAUACAACACAAUUGGAAUUAAAAUAUAUGUAAUAAAAAAAAUAAAAACUAAUUCAUUUUGAGUUUUAUUUUUCAAAAUAAUAACUCUAAUAUAAUAACUAAAUAAAUAAACAUAUAGUAAUUAAAUACAUAAUAACUAAAUAUAUUAAUGUCUUCUCAUAAUUGAGACUUUACAACAUAUACUCAAUUUUUAAACAAUUCUAAAAAAAUAAGUGAAAAUAAUUAAAAAUACUUAAAAUAUGUUACCAACAAAUACCUUAUUGUCCUAACAAAUCUCAAAAACCUUAUUUAGGACCAAUUGAAAAUCAAAAAAAAAUUCAUAUUUCUUUACUCUUGAAAAAAAAAAAUGGUUCUUGAUGACAGUCUCAAACAUAUCCUCCCAUUUGGUUAUUUUAUUGUAUAAGUUUUUCAAUAAAAUAAAAUAAUUAAUGAUAGUGUUUGUAAGGAAAAAUCAAAAUAUCAUACAAAAUUAAUACACAUCUUUUUAUUAUUCAAUAUUUCUAUAUCAUAUUUACAUUUUUUUUUAUAAAAAAAUUAUAUAUAUACAAUGUUUUAAAAACCGGAUCGGAUCGGCCGAUCCAACCGAUGACCGGUCACAUUUUCGGUCCGAUCCACUCUAUUAAACCGUUUAACUAUUGGAUCGGUUACGAACCGCCUAAACCAACGGUCAAACUGGUGAACCGAACAGUCCAUAUUGGCCCAUCAUUUUGCAAGUCCAUUGUAUAAAAAAUUAAAAGUUGUAGGCCAAAAACCAUACUAGGCCAUGUCUUAACAUGACAAAGCCCGCACCCAAACCAUUUAAGUAGGCUCAGUUUUGAGCCCACAAGGUGGGCAUGCUGUUGCUUUCAAUGAGGAUACUUUUUAUAGGCAUCCUUUGCACCCUUAUUUCUCUCACAAUCCGAUGUGGGAUUGCAAACUAAUAUGAUAAUAUCAAUGAAAAAAAUUUAACAAAUGCAACAAGAGGGAGGAUUUGAAGUGGGACCUCAGGUUUUGUAAAUAAACUAGGACACCACUCGGCUACUUAUUUGAUAUGCCAAACAAAACAAUAUAUGUUGGAUUUUAAUUUUUUUUUAAUAUUAAAUAAAAAUAAUAUAAUAUUUUUAAAAAUUAUAAAAUUAGUUAAAUUUUUCAUUUUGAAUAUAUUCACAUUUAAAUAUUGUACACAUUUCAUUUAAUAUGAUUUAAUUUGAUAAUAUCAAAUAUAUAAAAUAAUAUUAUUGAUUUUUAAUUUAUUCAUAUAUAUUUUAAAAUUUUUAUAAUUAUUUUUAAUUUUAAUAAUAUAUAAAUUACAUAUUUAUGACGUCAUCGGUUCGACCGCGGUUCGACCAUCGAUUCGACCGCGGUUUGAUCGGUAAACCGUGAACCGGUAACUUUUUCGAUUCAAUGACCCAUCCGGUUCUGAAAACAUUGUAUAUAUACAUAAUUUUAUCAUUUUUUUAAGUUAUAUUUAAAAUUUUCAUAUAUUUAAUCAAUUUACUAAUAUCAAUAUUUCCUUACAUAUUUUAAUAGUCGUAACCAUACAAAAGAUUGUCAAAUUAAAGGAAACAACACAUGAAAUGAGGAUGUGGAAAAAAAAAACACGAUAACAACGAAAUCAUGAUUUGUUUUUUAUUAUUCAAUAUUAUUAUAUCAUAUUUACAUUUUUUUUAUAAAAAAAUUAUAUAUAUACAUAAUUUUAUCAUUUUUUUUAAGUUAUAUCUAAAGUUUUCAUAUAUUUAAUCAAUUUACCGAUAUCAAUAUUUCCUUACAUAUUUUAAUAGUCGUAACCAUACAAAAGAUUGUCAAAUUAAAGGAAACAACACAUGAAAUGAGGAUGUGGAAAAAAAAAACACAAUAACGACGAAAUCAUGAUUUGUUUAAGGCGAAGGAAAUAAUAGUGAGAUAGACAAAGCUUAUAAUAACAAAGUACUGACAUUAUUAAUAUGUGGAAUUUGGUUUUCAGUUUUUUUUUAGAUUUUUAUAUAUUAUAUCUAUAAAUCUUAAUUCAAAUCUAAGUAAUACUUAAUAGAACUAUGAUGUUUGUUUUUUUUUUUUUUUUGUUUCUUUUAUCUAAAUCUUAAAGCAAUUUGCUUAAAAAUUGAAAUCAUUUUUAAAAUUAUUUGUUUAUUUCAUUUUAAUAGGAAAAAUAAAUAAUUUUACUUUUAACUAUGUAUACCUUAGUGAUGGGAUCAAAUUCCCAACGCAAUCAGUUUGAAUAACAACAUAUGAUUGAAGACGAUCAUCGCUAAAAGCUCUAUAUUCCCCAACCCAAUCAGUUUGAGCUCAAAACCAAGCUGCAAUUCAACCUAGUUUUGCAAUGGAUUGCAUCAGAUUUGUUUCCAAGAAGAUAAAAAUAAAACGAAACUUGGAAUAAGCAUCAAUGAAGUGAAUGUGAAACUGAUAGCCAAUAGAGGAUUGUGUAUUUGACACUCCCCAAAAAUCUGACUGCAUUAAUUUGGAGCAGUUCCGUAUAUUGAGUUGCAGAUAAUGGAAAUGGGAAUUCAUGGAUUUUGCCCAGACAACAUGUUGAAUUGAAACUACUCAAUUCAACAGAAAAGAAGCUACCAUGAUGGAGGUUGAGGAGUACUCCAUUGUUGGCAGUGGAGGCUCUCAUACCGUCUGAAGAAGCUAAACCAAAAGAAAUUCCAGCAGAAAAGAAAUGCUUUUUCCCUCAUCUAAAUAAUUGAUUACAAAAUUCUAUACAUAGCUAAUUGUAGAACAAACUUUAAUUAUCUGGAACUGUGAUAACAAACUACUAAUUGGGUCAACCAACUCUCUUGGCAUGAUUUAUUUAGAGUCCAACACCAUGAUUUUUCAGGGACUAAAAGUGGAAAAUGGUCUUACAACAUCAUUGUUCGGAAACUCUGAAAUGAUGAAUCUGAAUGUUUUCGACAGUUUGCUUCUUGAAAUCACUCCUGUUUCUAGUUGCCAUGAACUUUCCCCAGUUGUACUCUUUAAAUUUAGGGGGGUUUUCCUCAUUGGUCAACUCCUCCAAUGGCUUCACAUUCACAUGAUGCACCGGUAAGAAAAAGAAUGGAAUCGAAAACCUUUCCUUCUCACUAUUCGCCACCACCAUGUGCUCCACGCUCUCAUAUUUAUCAUUGCUCCAAACCUGUAUAGUGUUGGAUAAAUAUUGAGAAAAAGUAACACCAAUUUCUCCAACAUGUUUUUCUUUUUUUUUAAAUAAUAAUAAUAAGAUACAAUAUAUAAGACCUAGCUAUUAUAAUACCUAUAAAAAAAACUCAAACCAAUCACAACAUGUCAUGUAUAUAAUUAAGUUUAUUUACUUCGUAUAUGAUUUCAUUUUUCUAGAUCUAGUCUCGAUACUUUUAUCCCUAUCCAAUGCUCUAGAUUUUAUCCUAUACUUUUGAGGAGGUUUUGAAUUGAUAACCUACAAUUUUCCAAUGUGUACAAAUGAAAUUGAAGUCAUUUGAUGGAUCAUACCUGAAUAAUAUCACCAACAUCAAUGAUAUAAGCAUUUGGAAUAGGCUUUACUCCAAUCCAUUCACCAUCAACUUUUCCCUUCACUUCCAACCCUGUGACACCAUCUUGAAAGAGAACGGUUAAAGCUUUGGCGUCCUUGUACCGACCCACAACGAGAGAGCUUCGGCCACGAGAACGGCGGAGAGUGAUAAUUGAGUCGGAUUAAGCUGGUUUGCCAUUGGAAUAACUCAUUCAACUAGUCCCCGGCCAAGCCUAAGCUUAAGAAGAUGAGUUCUAAGAACUUGUUGGCUAAUUUUUCUAUUUCUCCAACAUAUUCUUUCCAAAUUUUCAUGAAAAUAAGUCAUUAUAUAAAAUAUAUCAAUACUCAAAAUGAAUUUAAUAAAAUCUUGCCAUGCCUUUACGUCUCUAUUUGAGUUUGUUUGCCUUUGAGUUGUGCCUUUACGUCUCUACUUGAGUUUGAUCGACUUUGAGUCGCAUUUUUAUGCCUCUAGUUGAGUCUAUUUAGCUUCAAGUCGUGCCUUAACAGUUCGAGUUUAGUCUAUUCGGCUUCAAACCGCACUUUUACAUCUCUUUCAUCUUUGAGCCACGUAUUUAUGUCUCUAGUUGAUUUUGUUUGACUUUAAGCUGCACCUCAUGCCUUUAGUUGAGUCUGUUCAGCUUCUAGUCGUGCAUCUAUAUUUCAAGUUGAGUUUAUUUGGCUUCAAGUUGUGUCUUUACGUUUCAAGUUGAAUCUAUUUGGCUUCAAGUUGAAUCUAUUUGGUUUCAAGUCGCACCUUUACAUCUCUAGUUGAGUCAGUUCAACUUUGACCCACGUCUUUACAUUUCUUGUUGAGUUUGUUCAACUUCAAGUCAUGCUUUUAUGUCUCUAGUUGAGUUUGUUUAGUUUCAAGCCACAGCUCUACAUCUCUAGCUGAGUCUAUUCUGCUUCAAAACAUGCCUUACAUUUCAAGUUGAGUCUAUUCGGCUUCAAGUUGCGCUUUUGCAUCUCUAAUUGAGUCUAUUCGACAUUGAGCUACGCCUUUACUUUUCAAGUUAAGUCUAUUUAGCUUCGAGCAACGCCUUUAUAUUUGGAGUUGAGUCUGUUAGGUUUCAAGCUACGCUUUUACAUCUCUAGUUGAGUCUAUUCGACUUUGAGUCAUGCCUUUAUGUUUUGAGUUGAGUUUAUUCAACUUUGAGUUACAUUUUUGCGUCUCUAGUUUAGCAUGUUCAACUUGAAGCAAUGUCUUAACGUUUCAAGUUGAGUUUGUUCGGCUUUGAGUUGCGCCUUUACGUCUCUAGUUGAGUUCGGCUUCGAGUUGUGCCUUUUUGUUUCGAGUUGAGUUUGUCUUAACUUUGAGUCACACCUUUACGUCUCUAAUUGAGUUUGAUUGGCUUCAAGCUGCGUCUUUAUGUUUCAAGUUGAGUUUGUUCGGCUUCAAGUCGUAGCUUCAAGUCAUGCCUUUAUGUCUCUAUUUGAGUAUGUCUGGCUUCAAGCCACGUCUUUAUGUUUUGAGUUGAGUUUGUUAGGCUUUGAGUUGCACCUUUACGUUUCGGGUUGAGUUUGUUCAGCUUUGAGUCACAUUUUUAUAUAUCUAGUUGAGUUUAUUCGACUUCGAGCCACACCUUUGAGUUUCAAGUUGAGUCUAUUCGGCUUCAAACCACACUUUUACGUAUCUUGUUAAGUCCUAUUCAGCUUCGUGCUAUGCCUUUACAUUUCUUGUUGAGUUUGUUCAGCUUUGAGUAUCGUCUUUAUCCUUAUUAAGUUCAUUCGGCUUUAGUCGUGCCUUCACCCUUAUCCUUAGUUUUGAGCCUAUUUGACUUCAAGCCAUGCGUUUGUCCUUGUUAAGUUUAUUCGGCUUCAAGUCGCCUCCUAGUUUUAAGUUUGUUUGGCCUCAAGCCGCACAUUCCCCUCUAUUUGAGUUCAUUUAGAAUUUUCCCCUUCCUCGAGUUUAUUAUGACAUUCUCUUCCUUCAAUAUCAUUUUUUGUGAGUUAAUCACUUCUUAUCUUGGUUGUCCUUGAGUUGUAUGUUGUGUCACGAUCUAGUGUUGUUCAUUGCAUAUACACUCCCCACAUUAUUUGUAUCUUUAUCUUAAGUUUCUUCCUUAGUAUGUGAUCCUGAUCUUUGAGCUUAGCAUGCCAUGUGUUAUGAAAAAAUUAUGAGUUCUCUUUUGUUCUUCAAUGCAAUUCACUUCAUACCAUUCAUCACUCAUGUUUCACUCUUCGUGUUCAGUUCACUCAUGAACUAUAUCAAAUAAGGGCAUAUUUAUAGACCCUCCAUUUUGUCUCAUAGCACGUAUGUUUGCAUUUUUUAUUUUCCUCUCGCCCCAUGCCCAUUUUAAUUUGGUGUCCGUUUGGAUACUUCUUGCUUAAUCAUUCAUCAUCCCUUAUUAGUUCACAUUUACUUGGCUCAUUAAUCAUUUUUUAGCCACAUUUUGGAGGCCAUUUAGGGCGAUUUUGGGUCUAAGCUUUUUUUUUUUAGAGGCUCUCAGUAGAUGGCUCAUAAUGAGGACACGUGUUUUUAAAGGGGUCUUCUAGAGGCUUCUAGGGUCAGUUGGGAGAGCACGUUCUUAUUUAUAUAUCUAUUGUUUUGGAGGUGAGUUGUACACCAAGAGAAUGAGGGAGUAGAUGGAGGUUUUUUAAACAUUGUAAGAGGAGAUUCGUUUUGAUUGGCAUUUAUACCAAUAAAAUCUUGGGAUUACUGAGAACUCAACGGGACCUUCCCUCUCAAAUCAUACAAACUUGGCCAAAGAGGGGUGGGUACCAUUGAGUUCUUAGGCUUUCAUGUCGAUAACUCAAUUCAUCUUAUUACUAAAGGGAUGAACCCAAUCCGGAAUAUGAACCAAAAAAGAAAAUGUCUAUUAAAUUGAUGACAGGAAUACCAGUUACAGUAGCUAUUAGCCAAAAGGAAUCCUUCCAAGUUGGAGGUGGUUAGAGAGAGAGAAGGCUGGGCGAGAGAGAGAGACACGUAAAGAGAAUAUUCUCUCUGGUGAGGGUUUGUUAGACGGGAAGCAAGAAGCUUGAGGGUAGAGAGGACAAUCAGAGGAGGAGUUUGGAGGAAGAGGGGAAGGGAGCUCGAAGGCAAGCAGAUCAGUGCUUGAGGGGACGUUUUUCCAAGUAUGAUUAUUGGGUCUCUCAUUUUCCGCUGUUCUCCUUUCCUUCCCGGUUGAUCUCUGGAUUUUAGUUGAUGCUUUGAUAUGGAUUCCAGAUGCCACACUUCAUCUUGUUGAGCAUUGGUUAGCUAUGGACUUGUUACUGCUACUCUUCUGUUUCUUUUGAGUUAACUUUGGAAAUGAAUCUGAAUAUAGACUGGUAUUUGCUGCUUGAUGUUUCGGGAAUCAUAUUUUAGUUGUUUAAAAUUCAUUCUGGCAUGUUCGGUUCCUUCAAGCUCAUUGAUGAAAUAAUGAAAUGGAGCUCUAUAUAUUUGUUAAUGGGUUGGUUCUCUGUUUGGUUAUCUUUUAAGUUCUUCCUCUUCUCUUUUCUCGUUGCCUUCUCUUCUCUAGGGGGGUGUCGUUUGAGCAUAUGCAUACUAGGAGAAAUGGGGAGCUGGAGGCUUAUCCUGGCAUCAACCUCGCGUUGGGGACGGCUUGAUCGAAGAACAUAUGAAUUUUUCAGAUACCUAGAACUUACAUCAAAAGAAGCCUCGGAGUCUAGGUCAAACACAAACACAUCCUUUGCCUUGGUGAUUUUAUUGACUUCUGCAUGAUGGGCACCCGAGGGUGGGGACUGGAAGAGAAAUGAUGAAUCUGCCUAAUAUAGUUUGUCUAGAAAGGAGCUUGUAUUAAAUGAUGGUUACCCACUGUGUCAGAUGCUGAAAUCUGGGUAUGAGGACUCCCGGUGGCAUCGGAAAGAUGAGUCGCACCAUUCUUCCCACAGUAGAAAGCUUGACCUCCGAAUUUGGGCUUUUUCAUGGCCAGACGAGAGGAGUGAUCGCAAUAGUGCGAGCAGAGCCAGUCAAAUUAAGCCUGUUAUCAGAGGAGUGAACCUACUGCCUUGUUCUAUCUCCGAUGGUCUGCUCAGCUCCUUCAACCUCCACCGCUCUCCUCUUUCCAAGUUCUCCAUUUUCAGUCUAGAGCCAACAAGAGUCGCAGAAAUCCUCAAAGAUUGACCUACAUGGUAUCGUGAGUACCUCGAUGUGGAUGUUCUUAAUGAGUUGUCAACUGGAGCCAAAUGGGUGUUUGAUAAGACCCAGUGAAGAUGUAAAAAUUAUAUAAUGAAGCUUGCAGAAAGACUCAAGGGUUGAUGGAAGGCAUCUCAACGAAGUUUGGCUUUUGUAUUGUGAAUCUGGCAAAUUACCUAUACUGCAUGGAUCAUCACUCUUUUCACGUGGAGGUACACAUGUCCUUUGUACUGUACACUUGGGGCAUCACAACCUGGUGAUGAUCAACGACUGGAUCCUCUGGUUGGUCCUCCAACAAAGCGCUUCAUGCUUCACUGAAAUUUCCCGGAGUUCUCGAUUAACGAAGUUGGCCAGCUUCUUAACCUGCACUGUUCCACAGAAGUCGCAUAAAGAUUUGACAUUGAAAUUGAUGUGGUUUUUCCUUUGCCAAUGGUGGUGGGCGCGCUUUGUAUGUAGAUUCCGAAGGAACUUCCAACUUGAUGGCUGUGAGUGGUAAUUAGGUUGGAGAAGAAACUACUGGGUCUGCCCCAUUAGUUUUCCAUUGUUAAGGUAGUUUGGUGCACAGCUUUCUGGAUCAUCUACACCACCAGCACCUCCAGCCGCCUGUUUUGAUCAGUUUCUGGAUUUCCAUCUCCAAAUUGUGCAAGCAGCGACUGAUUUGGUGUCCAUACAAGCGGCUACUGAAAUGGUUCAAACCUCAAAUGCUGAAGGGAAAGGAGCUUUUGGAAAAUAUCAUGAAGAAGACUCACCCAUCUUACAUGAAAUUAUACACAACUCCAUGGACCAGAACCGGAACUCAGACUUAAAUUUGUCCAAGAGAAGAUCAGUGUUAUACAAGUCAAUUGCAGUCAUUCCUGAAAGAAGUGAUCAGAAGAGUAAACCUGGAAAAGCAGCGAGUGAAACAAGGUCUGUGACAUUGAACAAUUUGCAGAUGGGUGUUCCCACAAGCUCCUUUCCCCUCUUCCCACGUGCAUGAAAUUCCUACAUGCAUGGCCACCUUCUUAGGUGUGCAAUUCGGUGCAUAUGCUCAAGCGUACUACCCCCCUCUUCUUUUAAAAAAAAAAUGAUUUUAAAUUUAAAUUUUUGACAAAUUCAUUUCCCUUUUAAAAUCCCUCCUCAGUAAUUCUCUUCAAAUUAAUAAAAUCUAUUUUCAAUAAAUUUCUGCUGUCAUCUUCCUUUUGGCGUGGACCAUUUUUCUAUUUUCUUUGAUUUUUAAUAAUUUUCUGAUUUUUUUUAAUAAAUAUGAAUAAAUUCUAUGUUUUUUAAAAUAAUGGAAUUUUCUCCAAAUUUCUAUUAUCUUUUUCUCCGAGAUCAUUAGGAAGAUGAAAUUCCUAAAAUUAAUUCAUGCAAAUAAAUUGGACGUUGGUGGGUCCAACAUAUGAAUUUUUCUCUUUUGAUUAUUAAUUUUAAUUGCUACGCUUGAUUGAUUAAUGAUUGAUCUCUACCUUGCUCUAACAUACAUAAGAUUUAUUGUGUUUGUGAUUGUACACUAACCAUGUUUCCCACGAAACGCUCAACUUAUUGCUAUUGUACGUUCCUUCCUUCUCCUAUUUGUUUAAGUAUAGCUCAACCAUAAUACAUCACUGAUAAUUACUUGGUAUCUAUUGAUUUUUUGAUCAAUUGUCAUAUACCUUAACGUAAUUAUCAGAGACCUGAUUUUAGGGUAUAGAGGGGUUUUACAACUUAUUAUCGUACCUUUUCAAUAAGUAACCUGACCCUCGAACCCAAACUCGGUUUUUUAUAAACCUGUACUUUCCUUUCAAGUUUCAUAUUUAGAGUUUUAUUUUUUAUUUUGUUUUCUAUUUAAAAAUAAAAUAAAAAUAAGUGUCAAAUUUAAAACCAUAUUUUCUAAAAAUCAAUUGUUCAUCAAUUUAAACUGAGUCUUGUCUUCUUUUUUUUUUUUCAAGUGAGGACAUGAUCUCAGGUCCACAAUACUAUUUUAAUAUAUAUCAUGAAAUAUAGAUAUUAACGUCAUCUUAAAGAUAUAAUUAAAUUUUUUGUUUAAAAUAAAUUAUAAUAAUUUAAAAAUAAUAUUUUAUUUAAAAUAAAUUUUAGAAUAAGCAAAGUUAAUAAGUGGACAUAGAGAAUUAUGAACCAUUGUAAAUGUAUUGAUUAUAUCUCUUUCUUCCCAUUUCAUUUUUACUCUAGUUUUUAUUAUUCGCAUCUUUUUCUACUAAAAUUUGAAAAAGAAAUUCACAUUCAAUUCAUUCGCUUCUUCUUGGGUGUAUGUCAUAGGAUUCAAAUUGUUUUUAAAAAAUAUUAAAUUUGUUAAUUGUGGCUAUAUGCUUAUUUAGGAUCCAUUCAUCUUAAUAACUCUCUUCCCGAUAUAGGAAGAAAAUGGCUAUUCCAUUAAUCCAGCAUGCAUUGCUGAUUAUUUAUCAAGCAAAUUACAUUAUUAUUUUCACACCAAACCUCCAAAUUCUCCAUGCAUAUACGCAUCCUAUACUGCAUGGCCAACUUCAGAGAGCUAAAACAAGCUCUUAUUGAAUUCAUGAUAGAUGAUGUCCCACUGACCCUUUUACUCUGAUACCUUGAAAUGAGAAAUUUGGAGGUUUUCCACAUCAAGCUUUUUGAAACUACUGCGCCUUCUCGUAACAAAGAACUUUCCCUAGUUGUAUGCUCUAUACUUUGGCUUUUCCCCCUUCGUCAGCUCCUCCAAGGGCUUCACCCAAACAUGGUGCCCGGGACUGAAAAAGAACGGAAUUGAGAACCUUUCCCCCUCUGAAUUCACCAUCACCCUGUGCUCCACACUUUCAAAAGUAUCGUUGCUCCAGACCUGGUUUAAUAUCAGUAUAAUUAGCCAAAUGGGUGUAAAAUUCCUUGAGCCAAACAGUACUGAUAAGCAUGUACUUAUAAUUUAAAGUUCUUGUGUGGGACCUGAACUAUAUCCCCAACGUUGAUGAUAUAAGUAUCUGGGGUGGGCUUCACUCGAACCCAUUCUCCAUUGGUUUUUAGCUUUACUUGCAGCCCUCCAACAUCAUCCUGGGCAAGGAUGGUUAAGGCUACGCCAUCCUUGUGGCGUCCAGCGCCCAGAGCUAGGUGAGGGAUGGGGCAAGGUGGGUAGUGAUUGAAGCGGAUGAAGUUUGUUGAUUCUUCAAAGAGAAGAUUGAAUCUGUUCUCUGGAAAACCUAAGCUCAGAGAGAUGAGUCCCAACAGCUUGAAAGCUAGUUUUUCCAUUUCUCUAGCAUAUUCUUCACAAACCUCC